rnacentral:lncRNA from 1 species
UUUUUUUUUUUUUUUUUUUUUGCAUUUUCAUGAAAAGAAAAAAUCAAGAAGUUUUUUGGAUUGUAAAUUAUUUGAGAUAAUUUUGUGAAAAUGUAUUGUAACAUUUUUUUGAUAUGAUGUAUGUGAGAUAAAAAGGUAAUUAGAAAAUGUGUUGAUGAAACAAGCAAAUCAGUGUUUGUAAAUAAGGUGUAAAUAAAGUGAAAUAGAAGACAAUCCAAACACAUUCAUAUAUAUAUAUAUAUAUAUUCUUUCUCGAACAUUAUAAGUUAAGUUGCUUCUACAUUUCUGUUAUUUGGAAUUGUAAUAGCAUAAACUGAAAGCUUCAAAAAAAAAAAAAAAAGGCCUGAAAGCUUAAAGAAAGUGCACCAAGACACAUUAUGAUGCUACUUGUUAAAGCAAUAAGACUGCUUUAACAAAUCCAAAUUUAUCUGCUCAUAUAGCCUCCCAACUUUCCGACCUGUCAUUCCUUCAUUUGCUCUUGCUCCUGCUCCUUUUUUUCUUGUUCCCCGUGGUGGGUCAAAUAACUGACAAGCUUAUAGGAUAAACUUGUUUGGAAGAUCGCACUAAUGCCAAGUUGUUUGGAACGAGAGAAAUGAUUUAACCAACUGAAAAUGAGUUGUGAGGACAACCAUUCAAAAUUAAUUUGCUGUCAAGCAUUCCAAAAAUCAGUCUGAGUUUCUAUCUAGUAGUAUUUCUUUUUCUUUUUCUGUUUUCCAAUUUGAGGGCCUUAAAUUUUGUACUUACACAAGAGUAAACCGCGUAAAUUCAUAAAAGCAUGUCACAGCUCCCUUUUUUUUUCCUAGAGCAAUUAAUAUGUUGAUUGAAAUGUUAUCUCUGCGCUAGAAUCAUGCAUGUAUUUUCUAUCAUAACAAAAUCCGGAUGGAGGGAAGACACAGUGUUGGACGUCAAGGCAUAGACAAAAAAUUUUAAUAACUUCAUCCCCUUUUUUCUAUUUUGUUCUUUUCCUCUUGCGUGAAAUUUAGACCAAUUAACGUCCACCAGAUUAUUCGAAAAAGGAGAAAGCCAUUCUUCUAGCAGUGAUUGUUGACUUUCAUGUAUAGUCGUACUAAUUGAGCACAAGGUCUCAAGAAAAGAAAACUAAACUUCGAGAGGAGCGAGUUGCUUGACCUUUGAAGUGCGAAUAACCUCCAAAAUUCCGACAAAUUUGUUUGGAUGAUUGGCAAUGGCAGAUGGAGAUGGUAUGCGAUGGCUGGUAAGCCAUCUUGAUCAAACACAGUAUGAGGAGGUGGCAUAGCACGUGAUUUCUCUCAACAGGCAUCGUGAUUUCGUCACCCAAACCUAAUUCCAUGGCCCAUCUCUUGAUCACAGGAAGCUGUGAGAAUGUAAUUGACUCAAUCUUGAAGUUGCUACAUGGACUCCUUUGGGCCAUGUUUCUUGUUACGGUUAGGUUGAAUUAUGCAGUGUGAAAGCUUUUCUUUCAUACGUACAUUGAAUUAUGGAAUUGCAUGCAAUUCUUGAGAGUACCAGUAAUUCACAAAAAGAAGAUCUGUGAAAAUACACAUGUGGUGUAAGACAACCGGUACAUUUUUCGUUUGAAAAAGGUGAGGUUAUCGUUUUCAUUUGUGAAGGGUCCUUAGCUUUUGUAGUUUUUACAAAAUUUUUAGGCAAAUUGGAAGUCAUGCAUGCUAACUUUUUAAUCAAAUGCUGUCUUGACGACCAUCACGGUGUAUUCAUCAAGUGUGGUUUCAUCUACCACAUCUCACCAGGGGGAAAAAAAGGAGCAAAGAAAAGAAAAAAUACACGAAACAUCAGAGUGGAUUGAGCUUUGUUUUCUUAUUCAAUUGAAUACUUUUACUCUCCAUAAAAAUAUGAUAAAUGUCCAAUCAUGGUUUUUAUUUCCCCUCCCUAACCAGCUAAACAUGCAUGCAUCUACAGCGGCAAAUUAAUUAUCCCCUUAAAUGUUUGAUUUGCUUGACUUUUGAGUGUUAUUUUUUGCAAAAAACUUCUCUGGUUUGAGAAUGCAUGCAUGUAGGCAAGAGCCAAGGGGUCCUAUGUUGAAGAAAAGCGUGUUGGUGUACUUUUACCACCAUUACACAGGUAUUCAUUCAUUCAGGCUGAAACAAAAGCAAGCCAAAAGAAAGGUUGAGACCAGGUGUUUCUUGCUAGGGCUUCUAGCUCCUGUACCCUGACUGCAUAUCUCGUUUGAAAAGAAAAUUUGAAGUUUUAACGUGGGGUUCUUUUUGUUGAUUUUUUUUUCAUUCUGAGUUAAAAUUGAAACCAAAAUCGAUUUGGGAGAGAAAGGCAAACAGGCAAUCAUUGCAUCAAACAUAUGGGGAGCCGCUUUAUCAUCUUUUCGUUCUCUCUCUUUUCUUUAAUUUCUUCUUCUUCUUCUUUUUUUGGGGGUGGGGGGGAGGGGGAGUGGUGUUUGGGGACUGGGGAAUAAAAAUCCAUGCUUCAGUAUUUUGUAUUGUGGGGUUGGGUCCCUUACCUCCAGCUCCCCACUGUCUCCAUGCAUAGAUCCAAUUGAAUGAUAAAGAACACCACACGUGGAGUCUGAAUCAAGGGACUGUCCAACCACAAUAAAAAGACUUACCCCGGUUACAAAUCAAGUUUCUGAAAAAAGAAAAAUCUAGUCGUAAAAAUUUCAAAAUUUACAUUAACCUCGCAAUAGAAAAUUCUUUUCCAGUUAUACUGCUUUCCAAUAUUAUAUCCAACAAAUAAUAAUCAAAGAAAAAUUUUCCCAUAUGAUCCCACUCCCCAUAUAAUUCCCACUCAUUGUGUUUGUUGCUUAAAGCUUGCACUCACUCUUCCCUUAUCCCAUAUCUUUCUUUUCCUCUUUCCCUUUCUCUCUCAAAAAAAGAAACCAAGAAAACCAGCUACCAGCUCCAUCUGAAAGAUGCUAGUGAUAUGCUAGCUAGCAAUAGCUUAGGGAGAAAUGGAUAAAUAGUUUUUCUUUAUUCAACGAAAAGUAGUAAAAGAAAAGAGGGAAGCGAGAGCCCACAAAGGGGCUCAACUCAAUUGAGGGUCAUCCAAAGCUAGAUAGAUGUACUACUAGCCCUUUAGCCAAAGAAUAUAGUAUUUCUUUUACUAGUAUAUGAGCAUGGAUGCUGAUAAUGCUCAUCUUGUUGUUAAUGCAAUUCGCAGGUCAAAUUUCCCACUUCAACUCCUAGAGAAAAGAGAUCUUCAUCAGCCAUCUAAUUGCUCUACCUCCAUCUAUCCCACCUUAGCCAUCGGUUCCAAUUCUACUACUUCUACUACUCCGGUUGAUGCUGCUGAAACCAGUGGUGCAGAUCGGCUCGAGGCAGCAGCUAACAAGAAGACUCAGCCUAAAAGAACUUCAACAAAAGAUAGGCAUACUAAGGUAGAGGGCCGUGGCCGACGGAUCCGCAUGCCAGCUACUUGUGCUGCAAGAGUUUUUCAGCUUACUAAAGAAUUAGGCCACAAGUCCGAUGGUGAAACAAUUGAAUGGUUGCUACAACAAGCCGAGCCAGCAGUUAUUGCCGCCACGGGGACUGGAACCAUCCCGGCCAAUUUCACUUCCCUUAACAUUUCUCUGCGGAGCUCAGGCUCGAGUAUAUCAGCUCCUUUGAUCAGGAAUUCUUACUUGAAUCAAAAUCUUGGGAUCUCCCAGUUGAGAGCUAUGGAAGAGUCGCACUCACAACAACAACGGCGGAUUUUUUACCCUGGGGUUAGUUUAUCCUCAGCUGAGAAUAAUAAUUCAUCGAUGUCAUUCAAUUUUCCCAGUGAAAGUAUGAAUGUGAAUGAUAUGUUACAUGCUAAGCAAGAGGUGCGUGAUCAAGCCGCUUGUCUUGAUGUGUCCGAUAGGAGGAUCAAAAGGAGGCCUGAUGAGGAAGAUCUGACAUGUUUGCAAAAUCAUAUUGGAAAUUAUAUGGUACAAUCGAGUUCAGGUUCCAUUGCUGCUAGUCAUCAAGGUCAAGUGCAGGCGGCUGCGUUUUUGAUGGUGACAAAUAAUCCUAGUAAUACUAGUACUAGCCAAUUGAUUAGGGGCCCUGAUUCUUUAUGGACAUUCCCCAGUAGUAUGACUGGAACUAAUCACAACUUAUUGCAUAGAGGUGGAGGAGCUUCAAUGUCUAGCAACGGACUACAUUUCAUGAAUUUUCCUACCUCAAUGGCCUUAUUGCCCGGUGUACAUGGGGCAAAUAAUGGUGGAGGAAGUUCUGGCGUGUUUGAAGGACAAUCAGGCAUGAUUGCCGGUUUAAACAGUUUAAGGCCGGCUGUCCCAGGUGGUGGAGCUUCUGAAGCUAAUCUUCAUCUCGGAGGAGAAGAAGAUUGGCAUGAUGCAACUACUAGUACUACUACUCACCACUCCUAGCUAAAUCAACCAAGUUUACUGCUUUAAUUAAUUUCUUGCUUUUUUUUUUUCUGUUACCCCUUCUUUUUGUGUACUAAUAUCGAUGCGUAUCAUCUAGGAUAGUCGAGACAUUAGGUCCCAGAUCGACACUCUUUGAAAGUUGACUUUGAUCUGUUGCUUGAUGCUGAGUAUUAAAUAGUAGUAAUAGUAUUAGGGUUUCCUGGGGAAAUUUUGAAGAGUUUAAGAGUGAAAUCUACUGCUGUUUGCCAAGGUCUCCUUUGGAGAAAAACUAUGGAGUGUCUUUUUCAGGCAUUACAUAUGUAAAUAUGCUGAUAUUUUCAAAAUAACACACAAAUGAUCAUGCUUUGCUUUCAAGUAACUACAGUUUGCAUGCAAUCAUUCGUUGUUAUGCGUAAUGUUCCUAAUAAACCUCUAAUUGAUGAAUCUGUUUCAAUAGUGUGAAGGAGCACUAUAUAUGUUUUACGGGUCAGAAACAUGAAUCGCUUUAUUGAUUCUAUUUACAUCACGCUAUAGUACUUACAACAAUCAUGGUACAACAUUGUAAUUAAGGUUCCAUCCGUAAGAGAAAAUGGUCCAAACCACAUACCCUAAGACGAGGGAGGGAGCCCACAUUUCUGAGCAUCAGCCUUUCAGGUUAGCUUUCAUGUCAUCACCAAUGAACCCUAGCUAUACUGAUCAUAUUGCCCAAAACUCGCAUCAGUUUAUCAAGUACUAGCGGAAUCAUUAUUCCUCUUUCUCAUAUAAAGUGGCUGCAGCCAGCGAAGAUGGUGCGUUUUAGUGACCCUACCACACAUGUCUGACCAACUUAAAGAUCUGGAUCGUACGUUGAUCAACUAAAUGCAUCUCUGUAUUAUAAUCUCUUGAUCAAUAACGUGGUUUUUUUUUUUUUGGAUGAAAAUGGACAUGGAUUGGAGUUGCUUGUGCUAUCGCUGGACUUUGUCUGUUGAAAUAUCGAUUCCUAGCUACUUAAUUGCCAUUUCUUCAAGAGCAUGCAUGUUGUCUGAGUUGUUGUUAGUUUCAUGUAAACCAGAUCUAUUCAACAUCUCUCCAGAAUGGCAAAAUAUUCUUUUAUCACCAUUCCUUCAUUUUUAUUUUUUUGCAUCACUUUUUCUCCUGCUGUUGAGUUGAUUACUUUUUUGGAAAAAUUAAGAAGAUAUCGGCCAAAUGAUUUUCUUGACAAUUUUUAUGCACUUUGCCUAAGUACCUCUGAGUAGUAAAAAUCAUUUUAAUGAUGAAAUAUCAAAUCCAUGUUAAUUUUUUUUUUUUUUGGUGAAAUUUGUUGGCCCUAGUCUUAGUUUUCAAGGGGUGCUGGGAAAGUUUCUCUAGCAAAAAGAAUGAUUGUAUUUGCAUGAAAAUAUAUUGGAGUAACUUAAAAUCUGUCCUGGAAUUGAUUUAAUGCUUACUUAUUUCAGUCAAGGUUAAAUUACUCAACUGCAGUGAUUCACUAUAGCGAAACUUGUUGCAUCAUUCAUGCCUAUAUGAGCAACCUGUGAAAGGAAACAAUCAAAUAUUCAUCUUCUGACUUCCAGGGAAAUAUAUGGCUACAUUUCUAAGAUUCUUUUCUGCCAACAGUGCAAGUAUAACCACUUAUAUUGUGUUACUGUAUGGUUGCUGUAAUCAUGAUCCACCAUGUCGUUUGGAGUUCAUUUGUGGAAAUAUUUGAAAUGGUCAUAAGAGAAGAAAUGCAUCAUUUUGUAUCAAUGAAAGGAAGAUAAAGCAAGCUAACUCCCCAGGAAACUCACUAAGGCAAGGGUAAAUAGAGCUGUGCAGUUCAUGUUCCCUGCGGGGGAUUUUCAGUUUCCUCUCUCUUUUAAGAUCUUGCAAAUGGAUGUAAUCUCCUUACAGGAAGGCCAUUUGCUUUGAGUUCAGCAAAAAUCUAAGAAACUAGAGAGUAGUUUGAGUUACGCAUAUUGUGGUACUCCUCAUGCAUCCAUUUCCUUACCAAUGCUUUCUGUUUUGUACGAAUUGGCAAGAUUAAUUACUAGCAACUUUCGCACAUGGUCUCUUAAUCUGUCACACCUUUAAGAUACAUAUAUAUAUAUAUGUUGAGGUUGUGAUACUUUAAACUUUAGUUUCAGAAAAUCUGGUAUUAAUGUUAUAUAAGCAUGUUAGUUGAACCAUUUAGUAGAAAAUCACUCAAAUUUGGACAAGAAAUCGUAGUUGAAUAUCAAACAUUGCGGGAAUGAAAGGAUGGAAAUUAAUUUCAUUUGGACACUUGAUGAUGCUUUAUCUAGCUAGCCACCAAAAGGCUAAUAAAGGUGACGUUAAUCACAUUUCAAAACUCUGUGAGCAGUUGUGCUUUUCGCUUUUCAUUCAGUAGUUUUGAUUCUUACAAUCCUCUAGUUAUUCCUAUGCUUCUUACUUCCCCUCUCCUUUUAAUACACAUCCGAUUGAGUACUUCUCAAAGAUUAAAGUUGUGGGUAUGAAACCACAAAAUCAUCACAAUUUAAGCAUUCCAAAAAUAGUUCUUUGACUAUAGCAAGAAAUUCACACUAUGUGCCCCUCCCUCCCGCCCUACUGUAGCAAGACAUCUGUUUUUCUUGAUUGCAGAUGACCGCCAAUUAAAUCAAAUUGAUGAAUGUGUAAUGUGCCUACUUAGAUUUGCCCAACCAGCGACCAGGAUAUGUUGUGCUCAACAUUUAUCAAAUAUUUUAUUCAUGUAUAUUACUUUUACCUUAUAAUAUAAUAUAAUUGUACACUAAAUAACGUAAAUAGGACAACAACCGAGUCGAAUCGUAUCAGACCUCAAUUGCAUUAGCCCAUCUCCCCCCAACCAAAACCAAAUGCGAUAAUAGAACUAUUGCUACAAGGAACAUUAAAUAAAUUAAUGCUUCCAAAAUUUAUUGAUUGGUUGAAAAGAUAACUAUUACUGCAAGGAAAUUACUACUUCCAAAAUUUAUUGAUUGGUUGAAAGGAUAACUAUUUUUUUUUUGUCACAAUAAAUUAUAUUCUACACCUACUCUUACUCUGCACUAAGGGAAAUGGGUGAACCCGAGGGGGUCAAUAGGAAAUUCGGAGGGAAUUGAACCAUCACCGGAUUAGACGGGUGCCUUUGCACUAGCCGGUGAAAUUUCCAAGAAAUUUUACAAGGUAAAGAUAACUAUUGCUACAAGGAAGAUUAAAUAACUUAUUGCUUCCAAAAUUUAUUGAUUGGUUGAAAAGAUAACUACUGCUGUUAGACUGAGAUAUGGUGUAGUAAGGCGUACGUUCCCGCAAUUUUUUGUUUUGUGUUUCCACGCUGAUUGGAAAUGCAGAAACGAACAACUACAAGCUCCUUUUCUACAGUGAUAAAUAAUGCAAUCGAUUUCACACCAACAAUGACAAAUGCAAGAACGUUUCUAAAUUGUUUGCAAACGAUCUUGACAGUUGACAUAACAUAUCAGAGUACAGUUCAAUUAUUUCUACUAUAUCAAAAGGACUAGGCGAUGCAUGCAUGGAUGAUUAAUCCUAGGACUAGCACUACAUUGUUCUUGUUCCGAGAGACCACUGAUCUUGUCGGUAUCAUACAGUGCAAGUUUUCGCACCGAAAUGUAACUUUUUUUUAACACAAGAAGAAACUCUAAUCUUACCAAAAGAAAGAAGGAAAGAGGGAGUCGAACCAUUCAAAUUUUUUCCUUAUCAAGAGAGAGAAGAGAAAUUAACUAAUGUCUCUACUAUUAUAUGUUUUGGUUUUGUUUUGUUAAAGCAAAACCCAAUGCAACGCAGCUUAUAUUUCUUCUUAGACACAAAUGAAACAACUUUUCAAAGAAAGACACAAAUGAAACUGAGUUAUAUGUCUUUUUGGAACAACAUGGUCAAUUUCUUGCACAAAAUUAAGAAAAAAGAAUUAAAUGGCGAAUAAUGUGAUUCAAUCUUAAUGAGAUAAUAUAGGCAAUAAAUCACAUGCUAUUUUUUUUUCUCAUCAUUGAAAGCUCUCCUUUUUCUUCACUAUUCCCUGCCGCGUUUUCGGGAGUCAAAAGUAGUACAGGAAACUGGGAAAGUCAAUAGAGCGGAGAUCCAAUGCACCCCACUUUCGUCAACAAUACCAUCCUUUUAAUCUAAAAGCCAAUAAGAUUCAGACCGAGUCCCAUGUCUCGGACCUUAAAGUAAUACUUUGUCCUGCGCUUGACUGUCUAGCUCGAAUAUGAUUGGCCAUUGUAAUUUGGAUGCAUCAACCAGCAAUAUAGCAGCUAAUGGAAAAAAAGAGAGAAGAUUUUUCGGUGCCUCUUUCUUCGUGAAGCAUAAAGAUGUCCUAUGUCCAAGUGCCCAUGUCCUAGAAGAAAUUUCGAGGCUUCUUGGUUGCAAAUUUCAAUCACCUUUCCAUACUUUCUAGAAAAUUGUCCUUUUCUGCAACACUUUCCUUUUCUCUUUCUUUUCUAAUUUUUAGUAUUACUUGUUUGUAUAACACUUUCCUUGACUCAAUGCAAAACACAUUCCUUGGGUUUCUGUCACGCUGUCCUAGAGAAGAAACUGAAGAAAACAGGAAGUGGUUUCUGCUUGUUCUAAAAUCUUGCAGGACCCCGGGAACAAAACAGGCAGAGAUUGCAAUUCUACUCCCAGAAAAAAAAUGGGUAAUUCUGGGAAUAAUCUUCUUGCUGUGAUGGCCAAGAACAUUGAUGUUAUAGCUAUGUAAGAAUGUAGUAGUAAUUUAUUUUUCUUCAAGUUCUAAUUUCUUUUUGCCUCGGUUCUUUUUGUAACGCUACUUGCAUUACAAUGUGAUUGUUGCUGCAUGCUUCUAUAUCACGGUAAUAUUUUUCUACUAAAAGCUGAAACCAAGAUUUGAUUUUUCUUCUCAAAUAGUUCCUUUUUUUUUUUUGCUAACUAAAAUCUGUUUGUUCCUUUUUCAGGCCUGUGAUUUCUCUCGUGUAUCCUCUGUAAGUCUCUGUCCUUUUGUCAAAAAGUUUGGAUCUUUCGUGAUUAUUUGUUGCAUAGUACUUCACAUUGCAAAUCUUUGAGGAAGAGGAAAGAAUUGCAAAAUCACUGCUUAGUUUGUUGCUUAAUAGUACAGCUAUAUUGAUCAAAUAAGGUAGGUUAAUGCCGGUGUUUAGAUUGUCCCAGUAAAUUUUUCCUUCUGAUGUUAUUUGAGAAUGGAUAUUCUGCUUUUAUGGUAGGAGGGAAAAUUAGAGACCCUUUACCUCUCUGCUCCCAAAAGGCAUUUGAAAUCAGAGUAAAAGUAACAUUGAGGGUUGGUGGGCUUGAUGGCUGUUACAUGUUUAUGUUUGAAGGAUAUCUUUAUUUGGUAUUAUGUGUAUUUGUUGCAUGGUUCAUAGGAUGGUAAAUGACAAUCUAACCUUGUCAUUGUGAUGUUGACAGGUACGCUUCUAUUAGGGCCAUAGAGACUAAAUCUCGUGCUGAUGACAGGCAGUGGUUAACUUAUUGGGUUCUUUAUUCUCUAAUUACUCUGUUCGAGCUUACAUUUUUCAAAGUUCUUGAGUGGUAAGUGUGCUGCAAACUCGAGUUUCUUACAUCUCUUAUACUGCUAAAUUAUGGUGAAUCGGCCUUGGACUGGCUGAACCUGCUGCCAAAUGCUUGAAGCUACUAGAACAUGAUCCACUUCACCGAAGUUACUUAUUUCCUAUUUUCAUUGCCUGGACCAGUCAUUUCCAAUAUUUCAGUCUCAUCACCUUGUUUUGUUCAUCACAUAUACAGGGCUGAAGUCCAACAAUAGCACUUCCUCUCAGUUACCAAGUGCAUAAUGCAAUUACAUCAGAUUAAGUAAAAUACAGUUGACAGGGGAACUAAUACCAAAUUUAUUUAUUUAUUUAUCAUGAGAUUACUACCUUUAUAUAGCUCAUUAGAAGCAAGUAUUAUGAGAAUAUUCAUGAUUUUACCACCUUAAAGCAUCAACGCCACGUAGACGUGUAACCAGUGUAAAAUGGAGGAACUGAGUUACAAUGGACAAAAUAUUUCAGCCUAAAUUGAGGAGCUUCUUUUUGUGCUUCAUCGCGUGCAUAUCCAUCGAUUCUUCGAUAUAAAAGCACAUUUCAUCCCACUGUAAAGACUGACGAGAUCACUCUUUGCGUGAAUGAUGUUUUAACUUGAUAUUUUCUGUCCUCUCAUUUAUCCUUAGAGAGUACAUGAGAGAAGUUUACAAAGUGAAUAACUUUUUGGCUAAAAAAAAGUUGAAAGCUGAGAGGAAUUUCCCCCCCUUUACAUCCUUAAUUUUGGUUUGCUUUGCCAUAAAAGAAUUGCCUGUGUGCUGCUGUAAGAAUGUGCUCAUGCAUGUCUGGAUAAAGUAUGUUGCUGUUGACCUGCCCUUACUAUUUGAUUUUCUUGUUGGCAUAAGGUUACCCAUUUGGCCCUAUGCGAAACUGAUUGGUAUAUGCUGGCUAGUCCUACCUCAGUUCAACGGAGCAGCUUAUGUUUAUGAGCAUUUCAUUAGACCUUUCUACAGGAAUCCACAAGUUAAGAUCUGGUAUGUACCUCGAAAGAAGGAUGUUUUCAGUAAACCAGAUGAUGUCCUUACUGCUGCAGAAAAAUACAUUGAAGAAAAUGGACCAGAAGCCUUUGAGAGAAUGAUAGCCAGGGUACGCUAAGCUCUGUCCUUUUUCAACAUUAUUUUCUAAAAUGUUUGUACCUUAAACGUCUAACUUUGGGUUUUAGAUUUUGCAUUUAGACCAGCUAAUUUUUUUGGGCGAGGAAAAACUGGGGAAAAAGGGGGUGAACCCUUGAUGUGGAAUCUUUAGUAGUGCAGUUUACCAAUAGAGAGAGCAUGAUUGGAAAUAAGUUCUUGAAUAGUAAAAUGUGUCCUGAAUACUGAGUAUCAGACCAUGAACAUAAAUUAGGUACUAAUGCUAUUCAUUUUUCAAAGUUACUACUUGCAAUGUUGAGCAUCUACAAUUACUACAAGUUACUGAUCCAUUUGUUGUUCUUUCAUAGCUCACAGUGAAUUAUAAUUACUGCUAACGAGCUGUACUGGUCUGAUUCAUAAGUGAGGUUGUUUUCCUCAGCUGAUAGACUGACAUGCGCAUUGCUAAAACAAUAACUAUUCAUUGCUCAAACACAGAGUGGGUUUGUUUGGACAAAGAAAAUUUGCAAGAUUUAUUUCAGAUUUUGUUUUGCUUGCAUCAUACACACAAUUCCCAAUCACCUUUUUAUCUCACAUACAUCACAUCACAAAAAGUACUACAGUAACUGGAUCAAAUAAAUCAUCCAAAUAAAUUCUUAUUGCUCAAACACAGUGUUUCUGAAUGCACAUAAUAUUUUGGGAAGGACCCCUUUCUUGACCAAUGGUACUUCAGCAUUUUCCCAUCGUUCAUAAAGUUUUCCUCUUUCUGCAAAUCCAUACAUAGGACAUAUGCUAUAAGACCUGUAUAUCCAGUUGUAAGAGAAUUAAUUUAAAACAUUCUUGUCAAUAAAGUAAUAUUUAUUCCUGUUCAUUUGCAUGAACGUUUCUUUUAUCUGUGUGCUGAUGUCAUGGCAGUCCAUAAUCGACGGUUUUGUGUUUCUGUGUACAGGCUGAUAGAGAAGCCCGGGCGAGGAGGAGCAACUAUAUGAUCUUUGAAAAUGAUAGAGGAUAUUAUUAACACCCUGUAUUUACUGGUACCGCACCACAAAGUUGGGGUACUUUUUCUGGCUCAGAACCAACUGGGCAGCGAGUAUAUGAUCACUUGACCAUCUUUCGUUGCAUUUUUCUGAUUGCAAAGCUUGUUGAAACUGAGGUUACCUGUAUAUCGAAGUGUGACUAAAGUACUACUAAGGUAUAUGGACGACUUGUCCAUCAGAAUAACUCUUUAUUCUGCUUAAUGAUCUUCGCUACUUCUCCAUCAGCAUUGUUCAACAAGUGCUGCAGCUGCUUGCUUUCAUUGAAAUCAAGCGUCAACAUUGUCAAUGCCAGGGGAGAAGGGAAUAUAAGUGAGAGACUUCGGGUUCGAGUCUUUCCACUUAUACUAAAAAGAAAAAAUUUAUUAAAAAAAAAAGCCUCAACAUUGUCAGUGGAUUAUGUUCUAAAUAGACAGAUUCGUAGGCUAUUGAUUUUUUAUGUUUCCAUAAUUGUGCCAUUGAUUUCAGGUUCUCAUCUUGUUUAGUUGCAUUUUUCUUUUAUUAGCUCCUUUUGGAUUCUUCCUUUCCUAGGGCAAUAAAGAAAUUGCUUCCCCUUGAAAACAUGUUUGAAAAGGUCUAUUCUAAAAGUGGAUUAAGCUCAAUUGGAUAUGUGAGAUUCAAGAAAAUCAAGCAAUCAAAAAAAUCAAUUUGAAAUGAUUUAUAUCUAGAUUUAUAAGUAUUCCACUCGAACGGACAUAGUUAUCAAUACGAUCUCUUUACAGCUAAGAUAUUACUUGCCAACGAUAUUUCCAAUUAAGAUAUUACUUGAUUUCCAAGUCCGUUAACUCAACUUUUAAGUCUUUAACGAAACAAAUUAGUAUAUUGUUGGAACUUGGGAAUAAAGAUAAACAAUUUGGCCAAUUAUACAAUUCGUUGAAUGUUGCAACACAAUUCCAUUACAAUCAUAGAGAAAAUGGGCUUAGCAACAACAUAUGUUUUUAUGUUUUGCCUUAUGAGGAGUCUUUCAUCCAGAGAAGGCAGAGAUAUACAAGAAAAAUCGUAUUGAUUUUAUUUAUUGGUUUUUGAAAUCUUUUGUUCACAUUUCUUGAGUUUAGUCAUAUCAUAGCUGUUCUUUUUCUUUUGCCAGAAAAAAAGGGAAUAGGUUAUGGUAUCAUACCUAUUCCACAGAGCUCAAACUCACAUUUGUCUCUCCCCAAAUUUCGUAUUUAGUUAGAUUACUCUGUUCUUACAAAAAUUCAUUAGACAAAGAGGUAGUGUAAUUGAAAUAUCGGGUAAACUUCCUUCAAAAAAAAUAUAUCGGGUAAACUAGCAAAUAUGGCUUCCCCAGACCUGUGGAUACCAAAAGCUUAAAAGGAGGUUUUUCAUAAUUAUUCCAAAGAUAAGGAGUGAUUACUGUAAUUUGUCAUAGUGUGACUCGUCCCUUUUUAGGCUUACAGACAGACUUUUGGCCUUAUUCGUUAAUUUUGCUCUAGAAAAGGACAAAAUCAGAACAUCCCAAUCAUCAAAAAAUCUCAGGUGCAAGAAUCUGACUUUUUGAUGCUGACAGGGCGUAACUCCGAAAAAGAGGGAUGUUAACAAAGGAGCGGAAACAAAAAAGAAAUCAGCAGAGAAAAAGAGAAAGAGACAAAGGAUGAGAACAAAAUGUUGAGGAAAUAAAGACAAAAUUUCGACAUCUUUAGAGCUCCUCUGGAACAAAAUUUGCUGAUUUUUAAUUAAUCUGCAAGACCCUUUUGUCCCAGGAAAGGGGGAAGAGAGCUUUGAUACCGAGCUAAAAAAGUUGUCAUUUUUGUCUUUCAAUUUUCCUCUUCUGUCGAAGUCAUUAUACCCUACGAAUUAUAGUUCAAGGAAAAGGAACAAGAAGGCCACAGAUUCAUUCCAAGUGGCCUGCAUUACAUGUGAUAAAUGCAAAUCUGUGAUGUGAUUUGGUGAAGGUUGAUUAAAGGAUUUUGAUACGGAAUCUUGUUUCAAGGCGUCAGUGUUGAUUGCACAUAUUCAAGAAUUGGAGUUUUUCUUGAAAGGUUGAAUAGGGAUUUCUUGGUUUCUUUGGAUUUUCCAGGAGUUGGUUUAGCCGCUCUAGAGCUGAAUGUUCAACGGUUUUGAGUCGUGAAUAGAGCUCUUGAGGCCUGUUUAAGCAAGUUUAGGGGCCUUUCUCUUUAAUAAGCAGGGAUUUCUGUUUGUUUGAAUGUUCUUCAGGGAUUUUAUGAUGGGGCAGAUGAAAAGAGAAUAGCUUUGUUGUGAGCUUGUGGUCUUAUAUGGGGGAGAGUAGUUGUAGGAGGAGGAGAUUGUUUUUAGGCUGUGGAGGUUCAAAUGGGUUUUGGGUUUUUCUUAGUGAUCGCAUUACAACUUGAAUGGCUGAUUUGCAGAGGCCUGCUCUAGCUGAGAGAGAUAUUGACCAGGUACUGUUUUUCGCAUUGCAUUUGCUUCGUUCUUUUGAACUUGACGCAGAAAAAGUAUAGGAUAUUUGAUUGUGCUUCUUAUGGGAAUAAAAGGCCAUCACAGCGCUCAAGAAGGGGGCUUUUCUGCUUAAGUAUGGGAGGAGGGGAAAGCCAAAGUUCUGCCCGUUUCGACUAUCAACUGUAAGUCUUCUUGCAGUACAUCUUAUCUGUGCAAAGUUCUUAGCUUUCCUGCCUGAAAUUAUUAUUGUCAAUGCCUGCUUUUACUUGUUUGGAGCUUCUUUAGGUCAAGGAACUCAUCUAUCACUUUGUGUCUCGCAAUGAAAGAAGUUCAUUGUCUUAAGGAUUUUAAUAGUUUUUAUCCUUCAUUUCAAGAAGGAGCUCUAUAAACCAUGACUACAAGAGAGUGUUAACUGAGGCAUCAUUUCUGCAGCAGAUACAAUCCUGGAAAUGCCUAGUUAUGUUUCAACUGAGCCCUUGUUGAGCUUUGUGAUACAAAGAGACAUCUCUGUGAUUCUUCAGAUAUAGUUUUGGUAGUUUCAUUCAACCUCUUCAUCCUCAUAUAUAACAGCAUAAAGUAUAGAGAGGAGAAAAGAGAUCUACAAUUUAAAAUUAGCUGGAGAUUGCUGCUUUGCCAUGUUGUUUUUGCCACCAUCUGUUGAUGAGAAAUUAAAUCAUCUUAUAGAUGAACUAAUGAGCAACAUUUGUGCACUUAGUGCUCCACAUUCUUUUUUAGGCUUUGGAUUUGGAUUGUCAUGUUUACAAUUUCACAUUGACACCUUCUGAAAUGUUGCAUGAAUAAAAAGAAGCGGUGGAGAAUGCUCCAAUUUCUGCAGAAGUAACGUUCUAUAAUCUAUAACGGUUGGAAAUUUUGGUAAUCUGGAAAAUAAAUGUGGAAUUCUCCUUUAUUAGCAAGGAGGUUGCUCAAUACGCUUCUGUUGAUUUUCUUUUUAAGAAAGAUAAUUACUACAACUUCUCUAUCCAAAUCACACCUAAAUCAACAUACUGUGUAAUUCUUCUUACCUUAGUGCAAUUUUACUUGUGCAUCACCUACUGUUGUUUGACCUGCUUUAAAAAACCUUUAUUAGUAGUUAAUCUGAUCAUUUCAAGAGAAAUUUUGUUCAUUAUUUUAGUUUGCCGUGGCUUUUGAUGCUAAAUUUCAGGAUGAGUCUGCCUUAAUAUGGUACUAUGGCAAAGAAGAGAAACAGCUUGAACUGCGACAGGUUUCAAGGAUUAUUCCUGGACAGCGUACUGUAAGUUUGCUGAUUUUUCUUGUUAUUUUUCCUCAAUAGAAAUUGAUGGAUGGUUAGCUUCUGCUUCUGAUUUUCUGUUGUAGUAAAAGAAGUAUUGAGGUUUCCUAAUUAAUAUGCUUUGAGACAGAAAAAAUUGGAUGAGCAUGCAAGUUUUGAUAGCUCAAACUUUUUAUGCUUAUUUUCAAAUUAUUAUCAUUUGUAUAGGCACCAUCUUAGUUGAUCAGAAAUAAGCCAAUUCCUCUAUCAGAUCAAAGAUCAAAUGAACCUUGAUGUAUCUAGAUGAGAAGCUACCACUUUUCUCCUCAACUGUAUAUUAUGCAUCUCUGACCUUUCAAAUUGACAUAAGAUCACUUGUCUUAGAGCUGGUCAGUUUGUUAGGAAAAAGGUGAGUAGGAAAAAAAUCAGAGAGAGACAGAGAGUUGAAACUUUUGCGCUAUCAUGUAGGAGUCGAAUCUAAGAAGUUAAAUAAUAAAUUGUUUGAAGAUUGCUGUUCUUCAGAGCACUCUUGUCUUUGAAGGCCAUCAUCGUUUUUGCAUCAUUCUUAGCAACUACAUGGCUUAUGUUGACUAUUUACUGCAAGUUGCUGUAUGUAAUUGCCCUUCCCUGAGAAUAAUGAGUGAGAUCCAACUCAUAUGGUAAUUGCCCUCUCUUUUCAGGCAAUAUUUCAGCGGUACCCUCGACCAGAGAAGGAAUAUCAAUCGUUUUCUCUUAUAUAUAAUGAUAGAUCGUUGGAUGUGGUGAGCUUUUCAUUGCUCCUAAUAAAUAGUUAACUAGUGCUCGAGUAUGAAAGGAAAUUAGUUUCAUCAUCUCUUCAACUUUACCCUGUUAAUCUUUCAAUUACUGUCUUGGACAGAUAUGUAAAGAUAAGGAUGAAGCUGAGGUUUGGUUUUUCGGUCUUAAAGCACUCGUUGCUCAUGGCAGCCACCACAAGGCAAGGAAUGACACAAAGGCUGAAACAUCCUCUUGUGACAGUCCACGUUCUCGAAGAACCUCUCCACCAAGUUUACCCUUUGUGAGUUACCCUUCUUAGUUAAUUUGUUUGGAAAUUAGGGUGUUAGGGCUUUCUCUCUUAAUUAUCUUGUUGAUGACUUAAUUAUAUUAGGAUCAUGGAGACACUCCAAGAGCUGAAAGUAUUCCACAAAGCAGAUUGGGAAAAGCUUUUGCUGACAUUGUCUCAUAUACAGCAACAUCAAAAAAUUCUUUUCUGGCUGAAAUAAAUACCAGCACUGCCAGUUCUCUUAUACCUGGGGCCACAGACAACUCAAAUAGCCGAAUUUCUACAGCUGACACAGUUCGAAUUAGUUUAUCCAGUGCUGUAAGUUCAUCAAGCCAGGGAUCAUGUCACGAGGAUUUUGAGUGUCUUGGUGAUGUUUUUAUUUGGGGAGAAGGAACUGGUGAAGGGGUAUUGGGUGGUGGUGAACUUAAAGUAGGUGCAUCAUCUGGAAGUAGAACUGAUGCUAAUUUGCCUAAGGCAUUGGAGUCAACAGUGGUGCUUGAUGUCCAUAGUAUUUCCUGUGGCAGUAAGUAUGCCAUAUUAGUUACUAAACAAGGGGAAGUGUUCAGCUGGGGUGAAGAGACAGGAGGCCGUUUGGGUCAUGGAUUGGUGGCUGAUCUUCCCUAUCCCAAGCUUAUUGAUAGCCUUAGUGGUAUGAACAUUGAAAUGGUUGCUUGUGGGGAGCAUCAUACCUGUGCUGUUACACUUUCUGGUGAUCUGUACAGUUGGGGUGAUGGCACUCAUAACUGUGGGUUGCUUGGGCAUGGAAGUGAAGUCAGUCACUGGAUUCCUAAGAAAGUUAGAGGCUCUAUUGAGGGCUUACACGUUUCAUAUGUCUCUUGUGGGCCCUGGCAUACAGCUCUAAUAACAUCUGUUGGGCAACUUUUUACAUUUGGGGAUGGAACAUUUGGUGCAUUAGGCCAUGGUGAUCAUCAUAGCUCCAAUAUUCCCAGAGAAGUUGAAUCCUUGAAAGGAGUUCGGACUCUGAAGGUUGCUUGUGGUGUUUGGCACACAGCUGCAGUUGUUGAAACUGGUGUCACUUCCAAGUCUGAACCGUCUGAGGGCUCUGUGUCUGGUAAACUAUUCACCUGGGGGAAUGGAGAUGAAGGACAGCUUGGGCACUCUGAUAAAAAACAUAGACUAGUCCCUGUAAGUGUAGCUGCAUUAGAUGAUUUAAGUUUUUCCCAGGUAGCCUGUGGACAAAAUUUAACUGUUGCUUUGACAACUGCUGGGAAAGUAUAUACAAUGGGAAGUUUAGUGCAUGGACAGUUAGGGAAUCCUUUGGCUGAUGGAAAAACUCCCACUUGUGUUGGAGGAAUAAUUGCUGAUAGUUUCAUAGAGGAGAUUAGCUGUGGUUCACAUCAUGUUGCGGUUUUGACAUCGAAAAUGGAAGUCUAUACCUGGGGAAAAGGUUCAAAUGGACAACUGGGCCAUGGAGACAAUGAUGAUAGAAAUACACCAGUUGUUGUUGAAUUUUUGAAAGAUAAACAAGUAAAAACUGUAGUAUGUGGAGCAAACUUUACUGCUGCUAUCUGUAUGCAUAAAUGGAUAUCUUCUGCUGAUAAUUCUGUUUGCUCUAGCUGUCGCAAUGCUUUCAAUUUCAGAAGAAAGCGUCACAAUUGUUACAACUGUGGCCUUGUCUUUUGCAAAGCAUGCAGCAGUAGGAAGUCCCUAAAAGCUUCUUUAGCCCCAAGUGCGAACAAGCCACAUCGUGUCUGUGAUGAUUGUUAUACUAAGUUGCAGAAAUCUUUUACCUCUAUAUCUGCACCUCGAAUUGCUAGUGUUAAAAGUGCAAAUGUACUCUACAAGGCCCUGGACUUAACAGAAAAGGAGACCAAAAAUCCUCGACUACCAGAAAACAUGUCCAAACUCUCUCCUUCUAAUUCAUUCAAUGUGCCUGAGGCUAGCAGUAUUAAGAGUAGCAGUAGAGCAGAAUUAAAUGGUAGCAAUCUGAUCCUUUUUCCAAAUGGAGAUGAUCAACGGGGGGGCAUUUCAUUCAAAUCCCCAACUGGUCCGACGGGAACCUCUAAGUUCCUCUCCUUAUCUAUUCCUAAUUCCAGAAUGGUUUCUCGAUCAACCUCUCCUGUUCAAGGUAAAACAAGACCACUGCAGCCUGCAACACGUACACCGGCAAUAGAUGUCAAUGGAGAUGGAUCAAUUGUUGGUGAUUCAAAGCAUAACAAUGCUGCUUUACAUGAGGAGAUAAAGUGUUUAAGGGCACAGGUCAGCUGAUUCAUGAAUUACAUAUUUGUUGUAAUCAGCACCUAGUAAUAGUUUCAUCAGUAGUGUACUUUGCAGUUUGGACAUUGCAGAAAACUUUUGAAGAAUCUAAGGUUCAAUUGUGAUAGAAGACUUUAAUUGAAAUAUCAGAAAUAGAAUUUGAGACCCAAAAAUUUGGCAAUCGGACAGACUUGAAUGACAAUUGUCCAAUUCUUUGCUUCGUCAUUUUUUGUCUUACUAUUGAUCACAUAUACGGUGUUAAAGCAAGAAAAAGCAUCCUUGAAACUGGAUUUUGGGUUUCCAGGAUCUAUCUUCUUUGAAAGGGGAAAGAGUGCACUGGUAGAUAAUCUACCCCUUAAUGCAUAAAACACACUGGAUUAAUUGCUUUUGGGUGUUUCCAAUCAAACAUCUAGAUUCAUGAACGAUAUCUAAAAUUCAUUUUAAAUUUUCAAAUCCUUAUUUAGUCCAUGAGGGAUUUAGUAGUUAUUCUUAAGUAGAUUUGCAGUCCAUAAAAUUGGUGCUAUUUGAUAUCUCUUGCCACAGUUACAGCUAUAGAAAUAUCAAAUUCAUUCUCUUAUUCAGCUGACAUGGGAACAUUUGUGGCUUUGAACUCUGUCCUUUGUUAAAAUUUCAAUUGACAUUUAAACCAAACAGAAUGUCCAGGCAAAAAAGAAAGAUAGAAAGAGAAUAGGCCAAUCACAAUUUUUAGAGUCCAAGAGUUGUUGACUUUGACUAGUAGGCAAGAAUUCUCUCUCAACUACCUAGAUAUAGGUGGCUAUGUAUUGAGAUUUCCGUCUGGUUGUGACACCAUAGAUAAAGUCAUUGAGAUGUGAAUUGCUCAUUUAUCAAACCAAGUAAUAUGCCUUGCAGAAUUUUAUGUGGCUUUGUCUGCAAAACCAUCUGCAAGCUACCAACCUACAUUGUAAAUGUUGAUGGAAUACUUGCAUGCAAGAGGUUUCACAUAGAUAUCUGAUUUUCAUGCAGUUGUUGCUGUAUCAACAAAAGGAUAUGACUUAUUAGGAUUCUUUCUUUUUGGCGUAGGUGGAAGAACUUGCAAGCAAAUCACAAUUCCUUGAGGUUGAGCUAGAGAGAAAAUCAAGGCAACUAAAGGAGGCUACAGCACAAGCAGCAGAUGAAGCUGAGAAAAGCAGAGCUGCAAAGCAAGUAAUCAAGUCACUAUCUGCCCAGGUCAGCUUUUCUUUCAUGUUAUAGAACAUGCUUAAAUGAUUAUGGUCUAUGGAGGGUAAUUUCUAUUACAUUGAUAUACUCCAUGCAUAGGUAAGUUUAUAUGAAUUUACUAGUCAUGCAUUGAGUUUAGCUUAUCAGCUUGCAACCGUGGCGAGGUUUUACUCUUUGGUUUCCUCUCUCAUAAUGAUAUUAUGUUGCUGUAACAUACUGGAAGAACCAGAAGAUACACUUCCAUAACGUCUACCUACUCAAACAUGUUAGCUUUAAAACGAUAACAUUGGUGAGACUCUAGGGUAUAAGAAACUGUUGCAUAGACCACAGACUUUAUUCUCUUGGUUUAAUGAGAUCUAAAAAUGUUUCAACUGGAAAAGAAUUCAAUUACAAUUUCAACUUUAUGGAGUUUGUCCCAAAAAUUUAAGUACUUCUGCUAAACUGUCUGCAACAAUUUUAAAUAUUUAUGAUAUUUAAAAGCAGGAAAACAUUGGGCAGUUAUUCAUUAAUUCAUUGAUGCAUUUCCUUUGACUCGUUGUAUUAGAUAUUGGCUUAAUGUCAUUCCUUGUAGUGACUAGUGAGUAAUUAUGUUUACAGUAGAUUGCAGGGUCUGAUUGGGUUGAUAAUCUAAUAAUGGGGUUGAUAAUCUGAUAAUCUUGCAGUUGAAAGAGAUGGCUGAAAGAUUGCCUGGGGGUCCUCCUGCCAGGAGCAAUUCGCAUUCUGAUUCAGAACAAAUAUCUAAUGAUCCUAGCUGCCCUUCUAGUUGGAGGAGAGCAACUAGCCUAGCCCCUCUUAGAAUCGAGUCCAGUGCCAGCUCAACUAGUUCAGUGCAGCCAAAUGAAGCCAAGACUCAGCUGCAGAAGCCAGAGAGGGUGAUAAAAGAUGAACCAGGCGUGUAUAUGACUAUCUGUUCCUCUCCAACGGGUGGGAAUGAACUCAGACGGGUUCGUUUCAGGUACAACUUUGAUGCUAGGUUUCCUGUUUUUACAUCUACGAUUGUCUCGAUGUGACUCAGUACUAUAUUCAUUUCCAACCUUAUGCCCAUUCAGUAAUUGCUGAGCAUUACAAAAUUAUGCCAACUUAAGUCAUCUCAUGACAUGUAUGUUCUUCUUAAAUUCAACAACAUCUGUAAUGAAGUUUUCUCCCCACAUUUUUUUAUCAAUCUGUCGUGUUGCCGUGACCAUUUGGAAGUCUCCGUUGGAAACUUUUUGUGCUUAUUCUACGGCAACUGACAUAAUAUAUACUAUCCUAUUGGCACAAAUGACCUUUAUCUGGUAGGGAGAUAACUUCUUCAAACGAUUGUUUGAACAACUUAAUUUCCUCUAGCAAUAAGAAGUAGAAUUUUCCCCAUUGACUUAAAAAUAAUCCUCCUGAUUUUACUCCAUCUGCUCUAUUUUACCAAAUAGGUUAAUGUAGUUCAUAUCUACUGGUUAUUUGACAAAGUAACUUCACAUUGCGAUUAGUCAGUGAAAAGUGCUGUCUUCCUGUAUAUACCUAUUCAUGGUUGCACUGGAAUUUUAUAAAACAAGGAAUAUGUGUGUGGGUAAGACAUCUCAAACUAACUUGGUUUAGUUAUUUACGCAGUUAGAGCACCCUGGAAAUUGUCAUGAAAAUCUUUGGUACAUUGAUGAACAUAGGGUUUGAAGACAAGGCUGCAUGUGUUAUGCUGCAUCAACCACUUUGAUGCUAGAGACCAUUCAAAUCCUGCUUUGUUUCUCCAAUUAUUAUUGACAUCUAUGCUUAUGAUAACUGUCGAUCCCACAUGAAUAUGUUUGGCUUCAGUUGUGAUCAAGAGCAAUCAGACCUUAACAACUGCAACCCCCUUGAAAAUUUACACCCAAGAAAAUUUUAAACCUAUAAUACUCUCUGAUAGUAGGAUAAGAUAUUUUCUCUGAUUCUGUAUCAACAACUAAUACAUUUUUGAGACAUACUUUGUGGAGAACCCAAACUUUUUAUUAGUCUGCUAUAAUUUCUAAUAAUCUGUUAUUUCUGUAGUCGGAAAUAUUUCAGUGAGCAGCAGGCAGAGAAGUGGUGGGCAGAAAAUGGAAGAAAAGUACUUGAGCGCCACAAUAUCCGAGCCCCAAUUUAACCUGUAGCUGCCAUCUCGUCAAUUUCACUGUAUAAAAAGGGUGUUUUGACCAUCAAGUACAGCAACCAUCUUUGAAUGCUGAACCCGGAACUCCUUGUUCUUCUGCCUUUUUUUUGGUUAACGUGUAAAGUUGAUAUACUGGCUUUUCCACAUCCACAUAAGAACGGGAUGGGGAAGAAUGCAAGCAUGACUAAAACACGAAGACUCAGUUAGCACCUAUGACAUGUAAAUGUAUCAUUCAUCUAUAGCUGUAUUAUGUUUCUCCUUUUAUUAGAAAUCUUAGCUAGUGCAUUUUGUACCAUGUUCGGAAAAGAGGACAAUUUUAGACGAGCUUGUUUUCCAAAUCUUCUUUGCUUUACACUUCUUUCUUCUUCGAUGUUGGUUAUGACUCACAUUCAGAUGUUCGCAAAAACAUUUCACAAGAAAUUAGAGAAGAAAUCCAGAUACUCAGCGUGGGCAUGGGCAUCAGAAUUGCAGAUGUUUUACGACUUCAUACAACUUAGGGUCGUACAUCUGCCAUCUCAAUCCGUUUGUUGGCCAAUACCGGGCUUAGAAUUGCCUUUCGCCAUUAUCUCAAAAGUGCAUCAUUGUCAUGACUACAGAUAAUAGAGUAACUGGAGGUUCCUAAUUUGCAGCAAGAAAGAGUAGGGGGAGCAACAGUGUAUGUGCAAUAUGGCAGGUUAGACAUGAAACAGCCUUGAUCCAACAAAAUUUUGCUCAAGCUUAAUUCAGGUUUUAUCUGAUUUUGCCAAAGAUUUUGAAAUCUAUCAAUGAAGGUAUACCUCACGUGGCAUAUGCAUGGUCAGUAUUCUGUUUAGCUCCAAAAUUCACACCUCCAGUUCCCACUCCUUGUUAGACAACUGAAUUAUGCUGCUUCCAGCUUCCUUCUUUACAGUUUGACUACAUGGGUUCCCUUUGUUCUCCAGCAUGUCUUUGCUAUCAGGUAUCCUCCCAGCUAUAGCGUAAGUGCUAGUGAGUACAAGCGAAUCAGCAGGGUGUCCAUCAUAAAGUGUUUCCAAUUUCCCCUUAACCAACUCACCCAAUUCAACAUUUCCAUGGACCCUGCAUGCUGCGAGUAAUGCUCGCCAUGCUGUGGCAUCCCCCUCGAUGGGCAAGCUCUUGAUCAGUUCGUGUGCAUCCUCAAGCAGACCAGCUCUACCUAAUAAGUCAAUUAUACAACCAUAAUGCUCAAUUCUAGGUGUCAAGCCAUAAUGCUGCACCAUUUUUCUGAAACAACUUAUUCCGUCGGUCACUAAUCCUCCAUGGCUACAUGCAUUGAGCACUGCCAAGAAAGUGACUUCGUUAGGCUUGAAAUCCUCCUGCUCCAUUCUAUGGAAAAGGGUAAUGGCAUUUUUUGGCUCCCCAUUUACUCCAUAACCCAGUAUCAUGGCUGUCCAGCACUUCACAUCUUUCUUCUCUAUCAUAUCAAAAACAUUACUUGCCAUCGAAAGCAAUCCACAUUUAGCGUACAUAUCGACCAAAGCUGUUCCAAGUAUUGCAUCCAAAACUAUCUCCUGCACUUCUACAUGGUCAUGUAUACGUUGACCCAAUGCCAGAGUCCCAGAUGAAGCACAAGCUGAAAGCAACCCUGCCAGGGUCGAUGAAUUGGGUUUUACUUCUUCCAGCUUCAUCAAACCCAGUAAACCUAUUGCUUCAUCUAGCAGGCCACCUUUAGCAUAUCCAUCUAUGAGACAAUUCCACACCACAACAUCUCUUGCAGAAACUUCAGCAAACACCCUACUCCCUGAAUCAAUGCAGCCCAUUUUACCAUACAUGGAAAUCAAUGCACUGACCACAUUUAAAUCCAAGCAAAAACCAAACUUUAUGCAAUAUCCAUGUAAGCACUCGCCUGUCAAAACGCAAUUCAGUUCCCCAGCAGCCGAGAUAACACUCGAGAUUGUGGUCUUGCCGACAAUUUGACCGGUGGUACAUAACUGCCUAAACAAGUCUAAAACCACAUUAUUCUGAGACGCACAAAGAUAGCCUCCCAUCAAAAUGUUCCACGAUAUCAAGUCUCUCCCUCCUGAAAUAUCAUCAAACAGUUUGCGGGCCUCCCCCAUUCUCUGACAGACACAGUAAAAAUGCAAAAGCGUAUUCUUUACAUUCAAGAACAGCUGAAACCCAGAUUUCAACACAAUUGAAUGAACACCAAGACCAGUCCAAGUGGCAAACUUUUUGCAACAAGAUUUGAGAACUGGGACGAAAGUAAAUUCAUCAAGCACAAUUCUUUGAGCCCUCAAGUAAUUGAAAAGAACAAAAACCUGAUUUUGAUUCUCACUGAUUGAAUAGGCUCUUAGGAUAGUAUUAAACAUAUAAAGAUUGGGUUUUUGUAUAUGUUUGAAAAUGGAGCCUGCAUAGUUUAUAUCUUGUAUUGAACAGGCAAGAAGCUUGCUAAGUGUAAAUGGUAUUUGAUCAAGACCAGUCUUGACCAUUAAGCCAUGGAUUGGGGUAAUUUCAGAUAUGUUUUUGCAAGAUUGCAAUGAAGUUACAAUCUUUUCAUCUGGGCAAUGUGUGGAGUAGAGAUACGGGAAAAGAAAUUUGGUGGGCGAAGUUCGAAAUUUUCUCUUGAACAUGAACCAACAAGUUUAGUCGCGGCAGUUCAUUUUUCAUCUUCUUUUUACAGGAAAAAAGUGUGUAAUCUGUAAUUUGGGAAACCCAGAGGUGGUGAUUGCAACUAACCGAGAUAAAAUCCCACGUAAAAAACUGGUUUGCAGGGUAACAAACCAGAAUAAAGCUUUAAUAAGUCACCUUGAAUUUUUUAAAGACCUUAAGACACCAUUUAUAGGCUAAAUUAUAAAGUGGAUCAGGGCCUCAAAAGUUAAGUUAUGUCCAGUUCAAUCCGAUUUGUAUAAUUCUUACUACAUUAGUGUAAACUAGUACAAUGUUGGUGUAAUUGUUAACUUGUCAAUAAAACAAUCUGGCCUAGCAAUUUGAGAGUACUUAAGACACCAUUUAUAGGCUAAAUUAUAAAGUGGAUCAGGACCUCAAAAGUUAAGUUAUGUCCAGUUCAAUCCGAUUUGUAUAAUUCUUACUACAUUAGUGUAAACUUGUACAAUGUUGGUGUAAUUGUUAACUUGUCAAUAUAUUUGAUUGCCAACUAAGAUUUUCACUCAUAAAAUUUGUUUCUAGAGUUCAUGAAAUGUACCCAAGUUUUAGACGGAACAAAAGAUUUUGUUAAUGAUGAGAAGGUACACGGAUAAGACUACAGGGAAUGCCCAAGGAUAGUAGGGAGUAGUGUAAAAUACAUACAGAAUGCUUGCCAAUCCCUUUGCAAAUCUGUUAGCACGAAGCAGCAUUUUCUGUUCCCAGAGAAAGAAAACAAUUACAACAAUUAUAUAACAUUUACAUGAAAAAUAUGAAUGCACAGAUGGUUCCUCAAAGUUCCAUGGUUCAUGCUUCCGCUGAUGUUCAUGUAUGCUAUGGCCAAGUUCUUGCCCAGUCAACUGCCAGAACAAGAAGCAAUGCACCGCAUGGCCUAUCUGCUUUGCAGAUAAAUGCACGGAGACUGGGUAUCAAUACCCUUGCAUAAGCCUCUGUCAAAUCUAUUCAAUCUUCAAGUAACUAUCCAUUUUCAUAUGUUGCAGGAAGGGAAGUGAUAAAAUCUUUUCUUUCAGAUAGUUUAAUUGGACUAGGAUUAUUUUGAGACUCUGAAGGACCUUUUCCUUGUGAAUCAACAGGUCCUAGACCAUCCACUUCUAUGGUACUCCAACCUAGAGGCUUCUGCAAAUCAUCUUCAUCGAUCAAUUCCCGCAUUUUUGUAGCAUCAUUCCAUCUCUCUGCACUGGCAUAAGCACUAGAUGAUAGUACAUAGUUUGCACCAUUAUGAGGAUCCAAUUCAAUAAGCUUGCUGGAGGCUAUCUCGGCCAGGGACACAUUUCCAUGAAGUUUACAACCACCGAGUAAUAUCCUCCACACAACAACUUCUGAAGCUACAGGCGUGCACUGUAUAAAUUCAUAUGCUCUCUCUAGAUUACCAGAGCGACAAAAGAGGUCAACUAUGCAACCAUAGUGCUUCACUUCUGGAACUAAUCCAUGAACCCUACCCAUACUAUCAAAGUAGUCCAAACCUUUAUCCACCAAUCCACCAUGAGCACAAGCAAGUAAUACCCCAGCAAAAGUUCCAUGGGUCACCUUAACACCUUCUAUUAACAUUUGUGAGAACAGGUCAAGAGCAUAAUCAGAAAUUCCAUUCACUGCAAGUCCGGAUAUGACUGAGUUCCAUGAAACUGUGUCCUUCUCUUUCAUAUCAUGAAAAACUUCCAAGGCCUUCUCAGUUGAUGCGCAUUUGCAGUACAUAUCGAUCAAGGCAUUCCCCACGUGUAUAUCUACUUUGACAUCAUAUUCACAGACAUACUUAUGCACCGCAUUACCCACAUCAAGCAUGCCUAAAUGUGCACAAGCAGAAAGAACACUAGCAACAGUAACCUCAUCAGGUUUAACUUUAGCUGCCAUCAUCCUUCGAAAAAUCCUGAUGGCAUCAGAAAAUUGUUUUGCAUGACAGUACCCCACUAUGAUGGAGGUCCAAGAUAUGACGUCCCUCCUGGGCAUCUCAUCAAAUAAUUUCAUUGCUGCAUCAAAAUUCCCCGCUUUUGAAUAUCCCAUAAUCAUGGUAUUCCAAGUAACCACAUCCUUUUCUAUCAUCCUGUCAAAAACUCCCCGAGCCAAGUCAACAAAACCCCGCCUUCCAUACAUAUCAAUCAGUGCAUUACCCAAAUAAACAUCAAUUUCAAUACCACUAUUCUCAAUAUAUUUCACCGCAGAGUCUGCCACGUCCAACUCACCCAUACGACUACAAGCUAAUAGAACUUUCACCAAGGUAAUAGAAUCAGCCGCCAGAUUGGUUGCUUGCAUAGCACCAUAAAGAACCAAAAUCUCCUUAAACUUGUUGCGCUGACUAUACCCACAUAUCAACGAGUUCCAAGAAACCAAGUCUCUUUCAGGCAUUUCAUCAAAAAUUUUCCGAGAAAAAUCCAAUGCAUCACAAGACCCGUACAUGUGAAUAAGAGAAUUACACACGUAAAGGUAAGAUCCAAACCCAAGUUUUAGAGCAAGACCGUGGGCCUUUUUACCAGUCAAAAUAUCUGAAACUCGAGAACAAGCCUUAAACAGGAAUAUAAAGGUCAGAUUAUUUCCAUGUAAACCUCUGUCACGCAUUUUCUCAAAUAGGGGUGUCGCUUCACCGGGUAGGUCGCUCUGAGCGAAUCCACGGAUCAUGAAAUUCCAGAUUGGUAAGGUGGGGUGCUCAAUCUGGAGGAAAGCAAAGUGGGCUUUGCGUAUUGUCUCAGAAGACAAAGCAUAGAACUUGAUAAUAUUUGACAUCGAUAAUGAGUCGGUAUGACGAUGAGUUCUGAUGAAGUGUGCAUGGAACUCCUGGAUGAAUUCUUCAAAGUUUGGAUAUUUGAAGAUUGGGUCAGUUUUUGAGGUCGUCGCAUGGGUUGUGAAGAGGCGGAAAAUGGGUCUUGCACAUGUCAUGAGAACGAUAAGGUGUUCAGGGGAAAAGUGAAGUACCUGGUGAAGAAAGCCAGGAGUAAAUUCAAGGAGAUGUAUUCAGGCCAUGGCAUUUAGGCCGAGUAUUGCAAAGCACGUUAUUCGUACAGCUUCUGUUUACUUGAAAUAAAGAUGCUAAAGGAGCUUGAUGUUCCAUAAAUUUUAAUUUCGCUCCAAUAACUGUACAGAGAUUCCUGCAUCUGACCAAAUUAGCGCAAUUAUCAUUAUGUUCCAUCGACCCAAUACCCAAACAGCAUGGAAAUAUAAGGGAAGGAGAUGCUAUUAAACAGAAUUACACACGAAGGAGAUGCAAAAGAGAACUGCAAAAUCCUUUCUACAGAGAUUUCUAUUAAAAAGAAUACUUUUUAACUAUGCCAAUAAAUGUAUGGAGUAUACAAUUACAUCCAGCAGCUUAGCUGCCUCGCGAGGGACAAAAAGUAGGACAAAGCCGUGACAUGUGAUACACCUAAAACCUUGUAACCAACAAAGCCUGCUGUCUUCUGUAUGAGUUGCCGAUUUCAAAAUUGCUGGACCAGAGCAAGUUUAUAUCCUAGGCGAAUCUUCAAAGGGAGUUUCUAUCUGCUCAAAGGUUCUAACUGCACUUCCAUUCUUUCAGAAAAAUCUGAAUCUUUUUCUGCUACUGUCCGACUUGGACUCAAGAGAUCGACAUCCUCCUCCUCACCGUUACCCAAUACCCAACUGCUUCCUCCAGAUACUCUAUCCCGCCGCCUCUUCUUCUCACGGUACUCCAAGUAAAUUACUGUCAAAGCACCAACCAAUAACCAGAUUAUCAGAGCCCAAGUAAGUCCAUGAACAUUUUCAUCACCGUAUCUUUCUCCCAAAUGCUUCAUUCCAGUGAUAAGAGCCACAACCCCAACAAGAAUGCUGGACCUGCCAACAAUGACAUGCAUAUAUUCCCAAAGAAUCCUCCUUGAAGAAACCACCUCUCCAGCACCAGGUUUCUUAGGUCGAAAGUAGGCAUUUACUGGUUGCACAACACCCAACAAUAUUGCCAGCAUUCCAAGCUUGACAUGUAAUGAGUGGAGGAACAGACCUCGAAGCUCGGCUACAGCAAAAAGAAAACCAAGGAAAACGAUUGAUAAUCCUGAGUAUUGCAAGUAUACGUGAAGUUGAAACCACCCAUCACCUUUGACAUGCUUUAAGUAUCUUGCAGCUAGAGUACCACCAGGAAGCAGUAUACCCCACGCAAGAAACAUCAUAAAACCAUGUACAGCUAAUACUGGCCGCAAGUCCUCCUCUGCCUCAGCAGAACCACGCAUAAGCAACACGUGAACAGGCCUCUUGCUUGUGACAGAGUGCAUAUUUGUUACGCUCAAGUGGUUGUCUGACCAUUGAGCACCCAUUGCCCAAAUAACUUUAAGAGGGGUUGUAGGAUCAACAAUGUUAUUACAUUCUGGCCUUUCAUCUCUUUUACUACAAGAUGGGUGUAACGGACGGGUGAAUUCAAAUGUGAUGAUACCAUUUUCAGACUUGCAUCUUGCAUAUGUCAAGUUCUCCUGAGUUGGAUGCAAACUAGAGGCAUCCCUUCCAUCUAUCCAAUAUGUGCUCACCCUUCCUUUUCCAUCAUCAUCAAUCCAACCCACAUAAGCAUAGCUGUGUACCAUUUCACGUCCAAAACCUAUUGCAAGAUAACCACUUUUCUUUUCACCCCGAGCUGCAAUUGAUAUUGAAUCUUUUGAUAAUGUCCAAAAAAGUGUAACUUGCUGAUCAUCCAAAACAACACUAUUGUUAUACAUAUCUGGCAGACCCCCGUCAACUACUUGAACUUUCCAACCCAUCUUUUGCGUAUAGACAGAAUGAUAAUAAACUAUAUCUGGUGUAUUGCGAUCAGGCGCCCAUGUCAGUUCUGUAGGGCUUGCUGGGACUCCUUCAGCUUCUGGUCCCCCAAAAUAAACAGUCUCAGACAUAUUCCUCAAGGUAGCAUUUCCACCAAGUGGAUUAGAGGUGACAUAGAAUGCAACAUCAUGCCCUGCUUGUAUGGAGAACUUGAUUGAAGCAAAUUUUGAUGCUGUUGUUUUAGGCCGUAUGUGAACGGUAACGGCAGCAAUGGCAACCGUAAUUUCUUCUGAUGACAGGACUGCUGGAGUUCGUGCGUGCAUUUUAGCUAGCUUUUAGUCAAGAGGUCUAAGUUUAACCGUAUAUUUGCACCUUUCCGUUUUUUCCUGCUAAUACUUUAUAAUCCAAAUGUGAGAUAAAUUCACAGCAGCAGCAAGUCACCAGCCACAUGUGGAUGCUCCUAAGAUGUGAUUUUAAGGGUCCGAGAUUUUGUUUCCAUAUAAGAUAUCCAUCACCCGGAUGCAAAGCAUGCAACCAUCCAAUUUAACGAGUGACGUCAACUGCACUGGCAGGAUGUGCACGUCUAAACAAUGAUGGAAAGAAGGCACCGCGGAAAGAAUGCACGCCUAAACAAAGGGUAUUAACAAGACGAAAUCUCAAUCAAUGUCAAGAAAGAUCGCAUGCAAGUUAAAAUGAACAUUUGCAAACUGUAAUUUGGGGUAAAACCCAACCUGACCCAAGAGAACAAGGAAUACACCAAACUAGCUUGCUCACGCAAGAUACCGAUACAAUCUUCUAUCUGAACUAUCCCUCUCCAAAAAAUCACGCUCAAUGAGGGAUUCAAUUCGUUUCUUUAUUUCUCCAGGAUUGGCCAGAAAACGAGAUUGCAACUGCUUGGUCACCUCUGCAAUAAUGUUGUUAUGAUCCAACACCCUCCGAGAUUUCAUGAUCCUAACUAUAGCAGCCUCAAUCUGGGCUUCCUGUCCUCUUCAACCCUCUGACGUGUCUCCUGUUUUUCAGGCUCAGAUUCCUUCUGUGCAACUACAGUUCCUAUCUUCACCUUGUAAAACUUGCUUGUAAACUUAUCAUUCACAAAAAAAAGCAUCUUCUUCUUCUGUUGCUUACAAGAUAAACAUUAAACUAUACUCUUUGUUUGAGAUAUAUGACCUAUAAAUUCUGAAGUUAACACAUCACGGAUCCAUUGCUUAAAACAAAAUACACACUGUUAAGUGCUUUAACUCUCAGACAUCCUCUACAUAACCCCACAACUACAAGAGAUGGCUUUGUUCAUAUCUAUGAAACUGAAGUCGUCUUGAUCACUCUGGUCAUCAGAGUUACGUAAGAACUAAGAAUACCGCUGGAAAUUCGAUUUUUGCAUUUUGUGUCUGAACUGUAUAUGAAGAAGAAAAGCAAAUAAAUUCCUGCAAAACGUAAAUGAAUAAUUCCAAUGUUUUACAGCAGAUAAUUAGAUGAUCUAAUCUGUAGAUAUUGGCAGGUAGCACCGGGAGUUCCCCCAAACACUUCAGUGGGCUAGACUUGGAUAUUCAUGCUUAGAAGAAGAAGGCAUCUAAGAACUAAGAAGUCGGCAGUGAAGCGGUCAGGGGAAACCUGACGUUUUUCUUUCUUCCUCUUUGGGUGCACUUUUUAAUUUGUACUGCUCGUAGAUGCAAAUUAAGAACACGAUAUUAUUGACCUAUUUAUAGUGAAAUUGAACAUACUGGAAAACGUAGGCGAAGGAAGGUAUGGUUUGCUGCUCAGACACAGGACCACAGCAGCCCCAUGCGAAGAAAACUUGGUAGAUGCAUUAGCAGAACUCGAACACUUCACUGAGUAUCAUUCAUCAAAUUAAAAGAUGGAGAGCACCUAUCAAUUCACUGAAGUGUUUGGGGGGAACUCCCGGGCAUACCUGAUCCUCAAUGCUGCCUGACGUAGUAUGCUAGUAUAGUGCUAGCUUCGGCCUGCAAAAGUUGGCAAUCUAAUGCAUUCCCAUUCUAGGCGGAAGAAGGCAUACGCUGGUUUUAUUAGUUUUAGCCUUCCAAUGCUUUCAAUUUGCCAUUCAUAUCCCGCGCCAUUAACGUUAACUCGCACCAUACGGUUCAUGGUGAAGGCCAAGACUUGGAUGCCAAGUUUAAAACAAGGUGGUAAAAUGCCAAUUCAGAACUCUACAAAACUUCAUGCUACCCGUGAAUAUGGCAAAAAUUAUCCAGACAUUUUCCCAUAACAUGUCCUCAAAACCUCCAAAAUUCCAUCAACCAAAAGCCUACAUAACUAAUCCUUCCAAAAACUCGACGAUACCAGAAAAGACAAUUUUUGGGCUCCAUGCACUUCUUUUGUCCAUUGCCAUCCAUGUUGUACAGUGACCAACUUACAUUAAAGUAGCAUGCACAAAACAGAGAAUCACUAUAGCCAGUAACUGUGUUUCACCUACUAUACUCUGGCAACUUCACGUAAACUACUUUCUGCUGUAUUUACCUCUUCCAUUCUGCUUGAAUCAACUUACCUGAAACUAAAAAAGACCAUAUAUCAGAAUGCAAGAGCAGCAUCAUAAAAACAAAAGGCCCAUAAGAAUCCUAUGACAGUAACCACGGGGGUGAGAAUUACAACAGAUUAGAAGAUGCUAGUAGCAUGAUUAAGAGCAGUUAUGCAGUGCAUGAAGAAAGUUCAAGUUCAUUCAGGAAAACAACAUGUUAAGGAACGGUAAGCAAAAAUGUUCCUCAGUGAAAAUCACAAUAAACAUUUGAAUCAGAUGGUAGAAUAAACAAAGCCAGACGUGAACAAAUUCAAGAUGCUGAUUAUUACUAAAUUUUCGACACAACUAAUUCAGCUGUGAAUGUUUACAUCCAAGUAAAUUUCACGAGUAAGGGGAAAAUUUUCAAACAGAAUUUUCAACUUUAUAAAAUCGUAUUUAGACAAUUGCUAUUUAAUAGACUUCAAAAGCAUUUAAAAAAUGCAGACAAAUUUUAGUGAUACUAAUAUAUGCUCAAAAGGCCAUCAUAUUUAAGCUGUGGUUUUUUUUUUUCUUUUUUAAACCAAAUGAAAGCAUCUUUAAUGUUAUGUCUAGGUUUUUAAAUAUUACCAUCUCUGGAAGAUGAAAGAGAUCUGUCAAUUUUGAUUCCUCCUUUUCCACUACCUUGAACAAGACUCUGUACUCGUGGAGAUGAAGUCAGCUUCACAUUGGUAGAAGAAGGCAAUGAGUAGCGCCUAGGUAGACCAUUCUUCUCGUAUGCAUCUUGUCCAAACCUCGGCGAGACUUGACCUCGUGCCUUAGCCUUGGCAGACUCAGUUGCUGCCAUGUAACUGGGGACCUUUGUUUCAUUAGUUAUGCCUACAUCUUGUUCAUCAUGCUUUGCAGGUAAAGAAGCUCUUCUCUUGUUAAACUUGGAGUUCUCAUUGCCAUUUUGAUCAUCCUUAGACUUUAUGACACUAGGGACAGCUGCAUCUCGAUCGUCAUGCAUUGGAGGUAAAGAAGCUCUUCUCUUGCUAACUUUAUGGUUCUCAUCGCCAGAUAGAUCAUCCUUAAUAUUCUUAUCCACAACCAGAAUAUUCUCAUUUUCCUCACCAAAAAUUUUAGGUUGCCCAUCAGAGUUAGAUACAGGACAAUCACAUAACUCAUCAACUGUGUCAUGCCUAUCUGGAAGAUCUGCAGAUAUUACCUGAUCAGUUUGUUUCAGUACAUCCCCUUCCAAGUCUGCUUGCAGUUUAUCAGAUUGAGUAUCAGUACUGUGUUCUGAUAGCUCAUGAGCUGGUUGAUUCGAUCCAUUUCCAUGAGUUAGUCCUUGUUUCUCAGUAUCAACCUCUUUCUCGAUGGAAGCAUCUCUUUGGGAGUCAGAAAUUUUCUUCAGAUUACGCUUAACCUUCUCAACCUCAUUCUGAGGAUAACACUGAGCAGAAUUGGUGGAGUGAUUUGAAGUCCUCAUUGGAUUGCUUUUUUGUUUAUCUGACUCAGUCGUAUUAUGACUUGAGCUAAUGUGAACUGUGCCAGAGUGCAAUCUCCCUGUACCGCGCUUUGCCCUGGUUUGACCUAUUUCAGCUCUCCGAUGCUUUGAACCAGCAAUCUUUUUCAGCUCAGAUUUUGGUUCCCAUAUGCGUAUUGAUGUCCACCGAAGAAGCCAAUGCCAUGCUGAAUCUGGUUCCUCCACACCACAUUGUAGACUUAUAGGCAUCGCAGUGGCUGACAGAGAGAGUAGCUGAAAGUCGUCGAAUACGUGAUGAGAUACAAUAUCUUUGAACAUCAUGCAUGUCACACAAAAAGAAUAGAAUAAGACAGAAAUCUAAUGACACAUGAACAUUCAAUAAUUGUUUUUAAGCACCAAGAAAAUUACUCUCUUUCGGUCAUGCGCCAUAGAGGUUAUGCUUAAAAAGAACAAGAAAUGUUUGUAUAAUUCACUUAAGAAUAAGUAAAAAAAUUCAGGUCUCUCCACAUCAACUAAUUGCCCUUAUGCUGAAACAGAGAUAGGAGGGAAUGCUUCUAAAUAUUAUAUUUAACUUUCCAAGAUGACUUCUCUCCAUCUUACGGUUGCAAAUUUUGCACUAGAAAUUCCAAAACUUGGGCCUUCUCAAAUGCAGCAGCAGGAAAGAAUCAAUCUGCAGAAGCUAUGAUACAUUUUACUUACCUCAGCAACAAAACCAUUCUUCAACAAUUCUUCUGCUUGAUUAUAUGUGUUUUCGCUCGGUUCCAAAUAUUUGGCAUCCUGUUUGGUACAUGAAAACAUCAACCACACUGAACAAAUAUAAGCUAACAGAUAGAUGGACUGGAAUGCACAUUAACUAAUUACUGUAUUAAAUUCCAACCUCUGUGCUUAUCAAAUACAGCUAUUUGAAUCAGAACUAAAGUUCAUGUGAUUGGAAAAUGCCAUGUUCUUCUGGUGGUUCCUUAUCAUGUCAAAUACUCUAGUUCAAGAGAAAAACCAUACACAAAUCAAUUAACAGAUUACCUUUUCUUCCACAGUUGACUUAGCGCGCACUUUAAUGCCAAUAUCAGAACAUCUAACAAUCUGGCCUCGAACAAAAGCUUGUAACUUAACAAUGCUCUGUACAUACUGCAAUGUGGAAACAGCCUGCCUCCUGACUAAGUGACCACGAAUAACUGCUUGUAGCCUUAUGAUGCCAUCAAGUGCUCGAAAUGCCCGGCGAGCCUUCAAACAGACCGAGCAUCAGCAGGGGUGAAACAUCCAUCCAAAAAUGUACAUAUUUAUACAUGACAGGAUGCAAACAAAAUAGGGCUAAAGCAGUAUGGAUAUCUAUUCAGAGAAAAAAGAUGUAUAUUUUAGCCAAAACUAAUUAGCAAGUCACCUGUAGUUUAAUAAAGAAAUAUGUGCAAAUUAGUAAUCAGCUCAGUGACACACUGUAUCGAUAAAUUGGAUAAAAAUUCUCAUCCGAAGGUAUCCAAAAAUUCUCAUCCAAAGGUCACUUUCUUUAUUUUGUAUUAAAAAAAAUAUAUCACUGAGGAGUGAAGGCAUAGGUGGAAGAGUAGGAUGUGGAAUAACUACUCAAAGUCAAAAGCAUACGACAAAAUGAAUGGAGCAUUUCUAUGUCUCCGUCCUCCAUAAACAUUCCCAAUCAGUUAUCAGCGGCAUUCAGGCCCAUCAUAUUUUGGUCAAUAAAAAUGAUCCGAUCAAAUAUUUCAAUAAAUGAAAUAGACCAACAUAUACAAUAUAUCAUCAAGCUCUAAGUCAUAUAUUCCACCUUCUAGAGGUUCAUUAAGUUCGACAUUCUAUCCAUGAGCUCAUGACUAGCAGCAUCAGAAAAACUUAUGCAAUGUGGUCACCUAUUAUGAAUUAUACAUUAAAUGAUAGUUCAAUAAGCUUGUUUGUUUACACAUAACUAAGUAUAAGAAGCUCAGUAAGAAUUCCACCAAGAGGAAGAUACCAAGUAACCCCUAAAAGCAGCUUGUGCCUUUGUAGCAGCUUGGUCAAGCCUCAUUCUCUCAGAAUCUUGAGGUGGAUCAACAUCUGUGGCUGUUUGUGCAUCUCCAUCUAGCUUUGGCGAAGACAAAAUCAAACCAAUGCUUGGCAACCUCGAGGCCUCUUCCUUUUCAGGUUCUGGGCCUUUGCCAGUGGUAGCAAUAGGACAAGGAACUGGUUCAGAAAUUGAAAAUGGCUCCACGGCUAAUUUGGAAGGUGGUUCCUUGUCCGAAACAAGUGAUGCUUUUUCAGUUGAAGAUUUCUUCAAAGAAAAAACAUAAAAGGUAUAAGUACAGGCUUCUGAGUUGUAGAUACGACUUUUUAAUAUGCCAGAGGUUUAGUAAAACGGCACCCAACCACAAGCUGAAAAGGCAGCACUUAGAUAACUGAAUUAAUAACACAGAGACUUUGAUGCUCUGUAAACAUAAGGUCUGGCAUAACAAUUUGAUCAAGCCAAAGUACUUCAAAGAAAUCAAAAGCUUCAAGUAAAGCAUCAGGUCUCCAAGUAAAGCAUCUUCCUUUCAAAACAAUGACUUUAAACAACUAUCACAACUUGAUGCUUGAGAUAAAGCCCAAAGGGUAGAGCAUCCGUAUGAGUGAAUCCCUCUAUUGAUUUCCCCUUUUGGCGCGUUCUUAAAAAAUAAAAUUGGUCAGCUAAGCGUAUCAAAAAAACUAAAUGGAUGAUAGGUGUCAUCAACAACUGUCCGACAGCAUAAACUAGACUGUCACAAACAACUGUCCAAUAGCAUAAAGAAGACAUUAGACACCUAUUUCCUGUAACAUAUACAUCGGGGGAUGCCACAAGCAAGUAGGAAUAUCGUAACAGUUGCUGUGUGGAUGUAUCAGCUUGUACAUACUUCUAUCUGUGCAAGGGUGUCAGACUAACAACCAUUGAAGAGGACAAGGAACUAUGUUGUUGAACACUUACUGUAAUGUCUUUUCCUUUGGACAAAUUGGAUUUGGACGACUUCUUCCCAAAUAGAACAGAUUUGAUCCAUUUUCCAGGAGAUUUUCCCAUUUUUAAACCGCUGUAUUCUACAACCUGCAAAAAUUAGUCAAAAGCCUGCAACAAUUGGCAUUGUAGAUUCUCAUUAAUGAGCUAACAGAAGCACGUACAAUCCAAUGGUUGGAAUCAGAAGCAAAACUAUCAUGUCGAUGCAAGCAUAUUAUUCUACUUGUACUGACCCAAAAGGCCGGCAUUGCAAGUUAAAUGUUGUCUUCCUCAUAAUCGAAUGCUAAAUUCAUCAACUGACCACAAUGAGAAGGUAUCCACUAAAAUUAAUAGAAUAUUGGUUAGCAAGGAGAGAUUUAUCAACUUAGUUUCCAUUAAUUAAUCAUCACAAAAAUCAAACAGAAAGAAAGAUAAUUGAUGAUUGCCACUAUUUACUAUGUCGGAUCAAGUUCCGACAAUAACAUUGAUUUGUUUGAUGCCAGAUAGACAAAAGCACAAAUCCCUUAAACUCAAGAGCUAGAAGUGUUCAUUCUAUUGGACCUUUUUUUCCCUUCAUUCUACUGGACUUGCUUUGAAUCAAUCCUCAAGUCACAGAAAACACGCACCCACAGCACAAAAGUAAAAUUUCAGCUUUUACAUAAGCUUUAUAUUUGUCACACAACAAAUUGAUAUCUUUUCUUAUAUCUUGUAUGUGCACCAAACAAUCGGGCACACGAGAACAAAUUUAAAUGAGCUAAAAAAAAUAUGCAAAAUACCAGCCCCUCCUCGCUUGCUCGCUCCCCACCCCCAACCCGAACAACCACCAACCCCGCUGAGUAGCUAAGCACGACAAAAGACAACGCUAACUAGAGCAAACAAACAAAUAUAUUCCUCAAGCAGCAACAAACCCGUUUAGAAAGCAGCUCAAGAAAGCAUCCUACUGAAGUUUCUCCAAAAACUCAAAAGAAACAAUAAAAGAGAAAGAAAAAUCAAGUACUGCAGUGUUGAUUAAAGGCGUGUAGGAUCUAAAACUUACCUGAAUAAUGCAGAAUGUUAUCCCACUUGCAAAUCCCUUAAAUCAAAAAGUCCCGAAACUUGUCAAAGAAAAAGGAAAGAAAAAAAAAAGACAACAUUUUUAGCAAAAAGGAAAAACAAGAUAACUUAUUAUAUAAAAUAAAAAGAGAAAUGGUGAUUAUAGAGAAACAGAGAUCUAAAAAUGGGUAGGGGAGGUUUAGUUGAAACUUCAAAGGAUGUGGUUGUGGAGAUUUUUCAGAUAGUUUAUUUCACAUGAUUGAAGAAAGUACCUAGCAAAACUUCGCCAUUUUUGUUCUUUUAUCGUUGCUUCCGCUCCACCCUGCUCUGCACUCCCUCAGUCCCUUCUCUACUCCGUUUUAAUAUCACCUGAAUUUUGGUAUCGCAUGUUUUGGAAAUUUUACUUCCGGUACCGUUUGUAUGUGUAGUUCUAAUCUCAUUUUAGUCCCUUAUAUUUUCACCUAUACCGCUUUUUGGUCCCUCAUGUCAUGUAUUUUGUCCCCUCAUGCAAUGAGUAAUUACGGCAUCCCUUGCGCUUAAUGCGUGAGAAGCAGAGGGCAAUUUAUCUCCUUCAAAACAACCUCUAAUUCCAAAAAAUGAGUAAAUCACAAUGCAUUUGUGAUUAUACAUAACAAACCCUUUUUAAUUUGUUUCUCUUGGGUUGAGUGUAUAAAUUGUUUUAUUAGUAUUAGUUAUUUCCUUUAUAUAAAAGCACAUUACUUUUUUUUUUUUUAUUUUGGUUAUUAAUGAAGUAAACAUUGCAGAUCCCUUUUAUAUUUUUUCCAAAAUUUUUGUUCUUGACUAAAAUAUAGUGUCAUUUGAAUUAGUUCCAUAGGAACCUAUGCAAAUUUAUCUUGAAGGCAAACAAAUAUAUAUGGUCAACCCGAACCCUUAAACCGAAAUAAGCUUAAUUGCAAUAAAGUUUUAUGUGCCUCCUUCCUGUGCACUGUCAUUAUUGUUUUAAUUGAGAAGAUUAACAAAGAAAGAUCUGCCACAAUAAAUACAUGGCGGGUCUUUUUUGGUUGGUGAUUAUUAAUUAAGGAUAAUUAAAAGGUGGGGUUAAAGAAAAUGAAAUUAGACAUAUAGGACCACAUUUUGAGCAGCAAAAAUAUGGAGAGAACGUGGUCUUCUAAUUUUUUCUAGGGUUAAUUACAUUUACCUCCCCUUAGGUUUGAUCAUAUUACCAAUCAAUCCCUGUAAUUUGUCCAAAUAACGGUCUCACCUUUUGAAUAAUCAAACAUUUAACAAAAAUCCCUUUAAUGCCGAAAAUGCCCUUUUUGAGGCCAUAUUGCAUUAAAAAAAGAACAUAUUUAUAUUUAUUAACCUUCAAGUAAUCCAAAAAAAUAGAAAAAAGUUUUUGCUUAUUAUUUUAUAAAAAUCAUAUCUUUGCUUCCAUAAAUAGUUUUGAAUCAAUAAUUAUUUUAAAUCUUAAAAAUGAAUACUAAAAAUUAGAUAAAUUUAAAAAAAAUAAAAAAGAAGCAAUUAUUUUAAAUCUUCAAGUAUGGUUUGAAUUUGUGGUUCAAGGCAUGUUGCGGAGAGCACAAGACAUGUUUUCCUCAAUUUGAACCAUAUUCCAGGAAUUAAAAUAAUUUCUUUUUUUUUUAUUUUUCUUUCAAUUUAUCUAAUUUUUAAUAUUCAUUUUUAAGAUUUAAAAUAAUUAUUGAUUCAAAACUAUUUAUGGAAGCAAAGAUAUGGUUUUUAUAAAAUAAUAAACAAAAAUUUUUUUCUAUUUUUUUGGAUUGUUUCAAAGUUAAUAAAAUAAAAAUAUGUUCUUUUUUUAAUACAACAUGGCCUCAAUAAGGGCAUUUUCGGCAUUAAGGGGGUUUUUGUUAAAUAUUUGAUCAUUCAAAGGGUGAGACCGUUAUUUGAAUAAAUUACAGGGAUUGAUUGAUAAUAUGAUCAAACCUCAGGGGAGGUAAAUGUAAUUAACCCUUUUUUCUAUCAUCAUCCAUGCUUAUCUUGAUAAUAUGGAUUUCUUUGUCUGAAAUCGACAGCUACCAAGAGAAGUUAGGGGAAUGCUCAGUGGUAACGGGGCUUUCUAAUUUCUACCCCAACCUGGAUUGGACAUUGGGAAACUUAAAAGUAGGGUAAGAGGCCAAUAAACCAUUAUGGCUGAUGUUAAGUAAGUGGUGGUUUACUGGCUUUGUUACUUUUGUUAGCCAAUUGAUGCAUGUCUUUUAAGUCGCUAGUAAUAAAUUACUUAUUAGUACUAUAAGCAUUUCCAGAAGAUUUAACUGCCCCCUUUUCCUUUUGAUAAGUUCAAGAAAAUUCAACUAACCAAGAAUAUGUUUGCUUUUUGCCCUUUUCAUCCAUCUAACUUUUUAAUUGAAUAAUAUAAUAGUUAACUUGUAAUUUCUCUAAAAUAUCCUUAUGUAAUAUAUGCUGUUAUUGAGUAUAAUUUAACUUAUUUAAUGUAAAGCUAAUUAGUCAUACUCCAUGUAAUAUAAUGAAAUUUAGGAAGAUAGUGAGCUAAAUUUAUUCUUCUAACAAAGCUAACUAACUUUUUUAAAAAAAAAAAAAAAAAAAAGCUGUGUCAAGAAAAAAAUCCAGAUGCAUUUCUUCUAGAUCUGGCCUUUCUUGCUGGCCCGAUGUACAGAUUUACUGCAGACCCAUAGUACCGAGGCCCAAGCAUUAAUACCCUUCAUUGGGCUAAUUUUAUUCUAGGCACACAGUGGACUUGGUGUAGCUGUUUGGUUGUUUCAUGUGUUAGCCACGUACCCUCAAACAUAAAUGAUGGAGCCCAUGAUUGACACGGAUGAUUUUUUUUUUUGGGUGGGAAGAUCUUAAAACAGAUGAAUAAAUUGGAGGAAACUUCCAAAUAGUGGUGCUCUUCGAAUAAUAGUGGAAGUUCUGAAAGAAACAUAGGUGUUUGUUUGGAUAGAGUGUUAUUUGAAAUAAUUACUGUAAUAUUUUUUGUGAUGUGAUAAAAAGGUAAUUGGAAAGAUAAAAAGGUGUGUUGGAAAUUAUAAUGAUGAUAUAAGCAAAUAUAUUUUAACAAAUAAUUCUCUAUCCAAACAAACCCGACUUGCCCCAUUCAGCUGCUACUCUUUGUCAAUAGUGGCUUCUCAAUUGUUAUGUUCGAGGGUCUUUUUUCGGAAUUGCCCCAUUAGCGUCCUUAAUAAUCAUCGUUCCCCCAAUUACAUAAUUAGGGGUGGACGCGGGUCGGGUACCCGUCUCAUUCAUCAUUUGGCUUAUUCGACCUGCACUUUACGGAUCAGCUAUUUUCUGACCCUUACUCGUCCCGCAUAUCAGUGGGUACCCGCUGGAUAAGGUUAGGUCAGCGGGUACCCGCCUCGCCCCAUUUAUCAUUUAAUUUUUUUUAAAAAAAUAAUUUAUACUAAUUUAAUUUUAUAUUUUACACAUUCAUCUAAUAUUUAAUAAUUUUUUUUCUAAAAAAAGGUUUCCGACCAAGAAACAAGCAUGUGAAGAGAAUAUAAGAUAAAGGAAAAAAAUUAAAAGAAUUCAAAAUCAAUCAAUGUUUGAAAUAAGUAGCACAAUUUUUAAUAUAUAUGUUUCACAUUAAUUAAACUUUUUUCUAUAAAAUAUAAGAUCAUGACCUCUACAAAUGAAUCCUUAUACUAUAUAAGAAUGAGUUAAGGGCAAAGAUUUCAACCGCAAGGGUGGGGCUAUUUUGGGAAUAUGAGAGUAUUUGAAGUGCAAUUGGAAUAUUGAAUAUGAAUCAUUAUAACUAAUUUGAUUUUUUUUAUAAUUACUUAAAUAUCCUGUCAGACAUUUAAAGCUAUGGGUAAGUUUAACAUGUGACAGUAUUCGAUAUCUGAUUAAGCAUUGGGUACAAUUGAAUUCAGGUUGUGUUUUAGUGGAAUUACAUAAAAAUCCUUUUAAUAAUUUAAUUGGAUUAACAUCCAAGUCUAUUAAUUUCUUAAAGCCAUUCUUAUCAGUUAUUUGCAAACUUGUGAUAUAUAGAUGUUAAGACACAAUUAAUACGGAUUAGUAGAGAAGUUUGGUUUCUUGGCUGUUACUAUAGUAACCCCCAUCUAUUCAAAUUCAUUUCAUUUACUUAUAAUUUUGUUCCACUACAAUCAUGUAGUCUAUUGAAUUCAGUGGAUUAAAACUAUUUGGCUACAAAUCUAAAGUAUGUACUUCAUUACUUUUAAUUGUUUUCUUGAAUUGAGUGGAUUAAGAUGUUUUAGUACUUUUUGAGGUAAUUAUUCAUCUAGAUUAGCAUGUUAGUUAUUGUAUAUAUUUGCAACUAGGUCAAAAACUGAUGUUUUGUGACGGUAACCCCUACCAAGAAGAAGAUGUUUUGCUAUAUGUUCUAAAUCAUACAAUAAAUCAUAAUUGAUUGAUUGGUCAGUGUGGAUGUUUUAUGAUGAUAUGUCUUUGGAAUCAAUAUAAAUCAAAGAAUUUGGCUUGCGAGAACUGAAAUUCCACUAGCAAUGAUUUCUUCAAGUAUGCUAAUUGUUCAAAUCUCAUUCAUAUGACAAGAUAAUGAGGUGGAUUGCCCUCGUAUCAAAAUCAAAUUCAAACUAAAUAACAAAUUUUAAUAUCCCUAAAAUGCAUGAGCAUAUAUAAGUAAAUCUUUUAUUCUAUUAGAUUAGACGCAAAGUGGUUAAUCAUGUUUUAUAAUUAUAUUUCAUUGCAUAUUAUACAUUUUUACUCAAUAUGUAAUUUAUGAUUUUUCUGUUUAAUAUCACAUAAUAAAAUUGCCAUACUUUAAUUCUUAUACUACAAAAUACUAAAUAAUAAUUAUUAACUAUCUUUAAUUAUAGGUAUUAAACUCCCGCGCAUGGCGCGGGCUUUUUCCCCUAGUCUUGUAAAUAAAUUAUAGUCUCUCAUAUUUGUAAUGCAAUUUGUUCAAUAAAAUUACUUAUUUAGUUCUAACUUAUUAUUUUAUAGUGUGUAUAUAAACAUAAACAUAAAAAAUAUAUAUAUAUAUAUAUAUAUAUACGGGGCGGAUCGGGUACCCGCGAGUUUUUAUUUUUGCGACCCUGAACCGCAUCGCAUCUUAGCGGGUACCCGACCCUCUUUUAACCCUAUCAAAUAAUAAAAAUCGGAUAUCCUAAUUUUCGAAUCGGAUUAGAUCGGAUAUGACGGAUUUUCGGGUUAGCGGAUAAUUUUGCCCGCCCCUAUACAUAAUCCCCAUAUUCUUGCUAUUUCUUGCAUUUGAAUCCCCAUAUUGAUCGGUUUUUGUGUAAGAGCAAGUGCGAGAAGGGUGAGAAUCGCGAGUGAAAAUGUGAAUUUGCGAGCGACACUGAAUAUUAACGAGAUUAUACAAAAUAUUCCAUGCAGUUCCAAUAGAUUAAUAAAGCUUUCAUAAAAGCUAGACUGAGCAAUAGAAUACCCGGUAGGAGCUUAAAAUCGUGGAAUUCAAUGAUUGCAGCAAUGGUGUUGAAUGAUCAAAGUGAGCUUACAAUUGAGCUUUUUGUAAAGAUAACCAGUUGAUGCCAGAUUCAGCAACAUGGAAUUCGAUGAUCAGUGGGUUUUCGCAGCUGGGACAAGAAGCUGAAGCUUUCCUCUUUUUCAGGAAAAUGCUCUCCGAGAAUAUUUUCCCCAGUUUGAAAUCCGUCACAAGCUUAUUAACUGCUUGUUCAGCUCUGUCUACGCUGCGCUUUGGUCCUUGAUUGGAGCUUGUGAACAGCAUGCAGAUUUUGAGCUGGGCGAAGAGAUUGCUAGAAAGCUUUCAACUUUAGAGCCAGAUAAUUCUUUUCCCUUCGUUAUUCUAUCCAACAUAUACGCUGGACUAGCAAAGUGGAAGGAUGUGGAAAGAAUCAGGGAUAUAAUGAGCAAAAGGCAACUGGAAAAAUUUCACCCUCCAGUACCAUAGAGGAGUGAUAUGACGACAAUAGCAUGUAAUAUUAUAGAGAUGGGACCUGAUUUUUAACAGAACUGUUAAAAGACCGUCUACUCAAACAAAUGUUACAUAUUUCGCUCGCAAAGACAUCAACAGCCCAACAUUUCUUGUGCCGCAAAUCCGAAGUAGUUAUCGAAGAAGUUUGGCGGUUCAAAGAUAAAGCAAGAGAUCACAUCUCUCAGUGUGAUUACACCAGUGACUCCAUUGUCGUCACCUACCACAUAGAUCCUGUGGACUGAGUUGGAAGCAAGCGCAUGUAUCACACUGCCAAGAGUUUCAUCAGGCUUGCAUGUUAACGGCCUGAUGACCUUGCCUGUAUGAGGGAUUGCUGAAGCAAUGGUGUUCAUGAAAUCCUUCACAGUGAGCACCCUGUGAAAAUAUCCUCAGUGAAAUAGAUAUGAAAAAAGGCCUGUUUGUGGUGAGUUUAUAAUCUAGUGGCCAAUAAAAUGCAAUUAUGAUCUGGUAGGAACCAUGGACGUUAUUUGCAUAUUAAUGGGAAAAUCUUGACGCCGCAAAGAUUAGUAGACAAUAUAAAACACUUAACCAUUUUGAGGUAGUAAAAUUUUCUUUUACCUGAAACUGGAGAAAAGUUCAGGCUUAAGCAACAAGAAUCUGAUGUCUCUUAUGCUCACACUGCCAACGAUCUGCUUUUUUGGUCCCUCAACAACUGGAAGUCCACCAAUUUGGUUAUCUUUCAUCUUUUUAAAUGCUUCUAGAAUCAGUUCAUCACUUUGGACGCUAACAACCUGACCAAGAUAAAAUGCCAACCACUUUUUAUGUUCAACUUGUUGCACACACUCUUAUCACUGAUACGUUAAUUGGAUAUCUAAUUUAUCUCACCUCAUCUGGUGUCAUGAAAGGAAGUCCCAACUUAGAUAUUGGAUUUGCGGAUAUGCAGUCAAACCAAUCCCUUCCCUUGCAUCUCUCUAGACCAUGGAUUACAGCAGAUUGAGUUAUGAAGUUUCUGAUGGAUGAAUUUCCUGUUUCAAUAACAGGUACGUUUCUCAGCCUGUACUUUGAGAGAAGCAACAAGACACUCAACAUUGAACUAUCUGUUGCAACAGGAAUGAAAGGUGCCCAACGAUAAGAUUUCAGGAUGGAUUUCACCUGCAAAUGAACAACAUUAAGGUGACAUAUUCAUCCAUUAAGACUAGAAGUUUGGGCCACAACAAAUUUCUUAUUAUCACAGACAUAUUUAUUGUUCCAAAGUUCAAAUCAACAACAUUUAACAUUUCAAUGACCUCUCCAGGAUGAAUAAAGGGAUUUGAUAAGUGUGUACUGUGAUAGGGAUUUGAUAAGUAUGUGCAAAGAUAAUUCAUAAAAUAGCUGAAACAUGGUGGCUGUGAAAAGCUGAUUGAAAUUGUUUUGAGAUUAAGAAGCAUAAAAGUAUGUUAAUGAGACCUUCCACUCCUAUAUGCUCACUUACUGUGGUUGACUUGAAUGGUUCUUCUUGAAGGAUAACUUUGUAGAAAUCCUCGCCCAACUUAUCAGCUGCAGUGGGAGCAUCUUUUGCCAUUCCUUUCUCUGCACUCAGACCACCUGCAACAGCUGCUCCAACAGCAGCAACAGUUAGGCCUGCAAUUGCAGCAGGACCAGUUGAACCUAGUGCUAUUGCUCCAAGUGUGCCUGCAGCACCAGCACCUACCCCUGCAGCAGCUGCAGAACCAGCUGAUAAGGCAGCUGCUGCAACUCCUGCUGUCUCUAGCACCCAAAGCACAAUGGCGGCGUAAUCUAUGAUUCCCAAGUAUCUUUCUCUCCAAUCUGUUGUAUAUUCAAUAUCAGGGUUUCUCACAGGAGCUGACAUGAUGUUGCUUUCUGAUAAAACUCUCACAGCAUCUCCAAUAGAUGUGUCUGCUGGGAUCUCAAUCACUACAGGUACGUUGCAAGAAGCCAUUGAACACUAUGUGUUUGAACAAGAAAACCAUAGAUGAUACAUUAAGUGAGAAGCUGGCGAAAUGAAAGAUUCCUUCCUGUUACCUUUGCCGCCAGGAACUUCUGGAAAAGAUGAAACUGGAAUUCUUGCAAAUGCAGCCGUUAGAGUCUCCUGUAACGAUUGAGGUAACAUUUUUCUGCUUUGGACAUUCUCAAAGUAAGCAUCGUAACUUGUAGAUUUUGGGCCUUUUGAUGCUUGUGCCAUGUUUAUCUAAAUAUCUAUAAACCAAGGAAAAAUUGACGUGCUAUUUCUGCAUAUCAAGCAAAGCAAAUGACAAAAAUGAAAAUCAUGUACAGCAUUUGAAUCAAACAAUCUUAGAAGCUCAAAAACCCGGUUAGAAUUGAUAGUAAACAUGUGGAUCGCAGGUUCUUCAGUUGUUCAAUUUGCACAAUUCAAUGCUAGAUUUUCAGGCAAAACCAAUUGAUGCAUUAUAUAUCACAACAAAACGGAGUAAAAACUACUUAUCAUGAUCAGAUUCUAAAAGCUCGUCAAAUUCUAACAGUAACUUGGGCGCGUCAGCAAUGAGAUGGCCGUCAUUAGUGUGAGCCAAUGCUUUACAAUCCAUUGGACUAGAUUGCACAUUGAGUUUCCUAAAGGCCUAUUCAUCAUGGGGCAGCGUGGAAUUUCUACUUUUCUAGCGCUAUGGGGGCUCUUCCUGCGCGUUUCUUCCCAUUUAUAGCUGUAUUUUUGGCGUUCUUCUAGCAUUUCUUUACUUCUUACAAAUUCAACUACUUCUUGGGUUGAUAUUUUCCACUGACCGACCAACAAUAAGCAGAAAGAUUGCUUAACCAAGAAACACCUUAGAAAACAUAGCAUACCAAACUCGAGGAAUAGCAGUUUUUGUUGUUAAAAUUCAGGAGAUGCAGCAGUAGGUUCUCGCCUCAGCAGCAAGAAAAUGUUACCUGUGUAGCGCCUCUUGACUUGCAAAGAUCAGAAGGGGCUUGUGAUACCUUUUCCCAAGAUCUUUGUUUCUGGAGCGUCCCUUGUGAAGAGUGAAGAGAGUUUGUUAUUGAAGAUUCUAUGUGGAGGAAGAAGGCGGUGCCAUGUGUAACCACUAUAUACGUGUCAGGAAACUAAGCCCCCAGCAACCCCCCCUCCCCCCCAACCCAUAGUCAGUUCUCCUGUUUGGAGGCUUAUUCUUUCCUUUGAAGUGGUCUCUCUCCUCUGCAGUAUAGAGUCGGCGAUUCCUUUUCUCGGCUCUUUUCUGGUUUUAGAUAGAGAGGCACAGCGGGCCAAUUAUUAGCGAGUGUUAAGUGACUUUGGAUCACCACCACCAAUCCAAUGACAAUUUUCUAAAUUUUGCCUAUUCUUUUCUCCUCUUCUUUCAAACCUUGUAUUCCUUCGCCUUCUCCCUCCACCUUAGCAUACUCUUCAAUUAUUGUGUCAUUGACCUUUUGUGUUGAUAGCUAAACCAUCCUAUACGUAUGUAGCGACAUCAUUUGAAACUUGUCUUGACUACCAUUUUUUUUUUUUUGUCACAUCACGCAAUUUUUAUUUGUCUUCUUUUUGAAUUUUUUUUCUUUUUAUUUAGAUAAAAUGAUUUGUUCACUAACUCGUUGUUAUCUAUUAAACUUUUAUUACAAUGAUAUAGAUAUAGGGUACUAUUUUUCUUGUCAAAGAAGAUGUAGGAGAAAAAAUUAAUACAAUCACGACUCUUAUCCAUUUUGAUCCAACAAUUGAGCGGGAAUAAUAGAUUAAUCCAAUUACACUUGUAAUCCGAUCAUGAUCCAUCCAAAUCCGCCAAACUCACAUUCUAACAGCUCUAUAUCAAUUAUUUCUGACUUUGGGUGGAGGAAGUCUCCGGAGAAGAAGCGCUUUGAAGAAUGUGAGAGCUUGGGAUGGAGAAAGUGAAGGGCACUUCAUGUGCUGCACCCUUAACUGUUGCAAAUGUCAAAUGGGUAGUGUUUCUAUUUCUGGUAAUUCGACCAAAUGAUUGGCUCCGGCCACCAACUUGGAGGAGAAGGCCACUCCUGAGUUAUGAUUCUUCCAAUGUAGAACAUUGAGAUUCUGAAAAAUGUUUCCAUGGAGUAAUCAUUGCAUUUUUACCUGCAAUCCAUCGUACCAAGGACCAUAUCCCCCAAAAGCUGUGAGCUCUAGUUCUUUGGCCAACAAAUUUGCAAUUUUUCUUGUCUGCGUCAGUGGGAUUUUUGAAUCUUGAUCUCCACUGAAGAACAAAUGUACUAUUAAUUGAAGCUAUGGAAACAUUAAAGAUUAAGAGUGAGCUUCCACAAUGUAAAUUUCUAGCUCAUUAGUGAGCUUCCACAUUAAACAUUAAAGAAUUUGUGACAAUAGAGGAAUGAUGUUAGUGGCUAUAUUAUCACUCUGGUAGUCCAGCAGCCUGCAAAAUCACAACUUUUGCUCACGGCAUGCGAAGAUACAUGGAACUAAACUAUGAUAUGUAUAGACCACACCUUGAUUCUUGUGUCUGUGUGUGUCUGGAGAUCACACAGAGAGAGAGAGAGAGAAAGGUUGAACUCUGAACAAAAGGUCCAGGCAGCUUGGAGUUGAGUCGUUUUGACAUGUAAAGCUUUCUGAACUCCAGGAUUACUCAGGUAUGCAUAUAUUCUGUCAGCAAGACAGGGAUCACCAGCUUCCGUUUUCUUCUCAACGAUUCUUAGCUUUGCAUGAGCAAGAUCUCCCAUAAAAACUGAUUGCGUACUAGGGGAUGAACAAUAAAGCAAGAGCGAGUCGCCAGAAUCAGUGCCGGAUCCCCUCUCCAUUUCCAAUUUUGCAUCACUAACCUGGCAUUCCUUGGAUAAGUUCUUAUGGGUGUACUCCAGCAUGUACCUUGAAUCAUUGCAUACUGUUCUCUUUAUAGCAAGCAUUUCAUCAGAAAUGACCCCAUGUGAUGUGACCACAGGAACUCAGUAGCAUCAAUGCUUAUCUCAAUUCUAGAAGCGGUUUUCCCAACUGCAUUAUGUAAGCAGAGAGAAUUUUGUGCAUCAAUUUAUCUACUGUAACUUCUUAUGGGGAUUCAGCUGAUGAAGAUAGAGAGUUAUAACAAAAAAUCAGUACUGCGAUGGCUCUGAGAUUGAUUGGUCUGUUGUACUCUAGCAACAACUUCACAAGUUGUGGUAUGUAGUGGCCUGAAACCAUUAUGAGUAGGCAUUUUAAUUCCAAAUUAUCACGAUGAUAAUACUAGUUUCAAUAGCUACACAAAUUGGAAUUUUAUAUCUACCCUGUUAACUAUGCAUGUGCAGUAAUGACUUCCCUUAACCAGAAUGAAUUCAGCUUUGAAAAAUUGUCGGUUUAGAGUUUUACUUGCCUGAGCAGCCCUUGAUUUAUUGCAUAAUUAGUUCGUCUUUUUAUCCAUGUAGCAAACUAACCUACGCAAGAUACUGUGACUGACAAAGAAGCCACAUAAUUUAGUGCUUAUAGAAGAAUAACAAAUGGAAAUUUACCUGCAUAACUCUCCCCUGUGAAGUACAAAUCUGAGUCUCUGUACGCGGGGAAUAUCUUCAACCAGUUGAUGAGAAAUUGUAGAUUAUCCGAGGCUGUAAAUACCAAAAUUUGCUCAAACAUUUAGAGGCAAUGCGCUACUGACUGCUAUAAAAAGAAAUGAACUGUCACCGAUUGGUCUAUGAAUACCAGUUGUUGUGUCAUUCCAGUUAGAGUAGUCUGAACUUUUGUUACAAGUGGAGAUUAUGUACUUUGCAUCAAUUUAUCUUUGAUAAUUGUUCAAAAGUUUCGGCUUCUUUGAUCAGAGCCACCAAGUUUCAGUGAACAGCAGCUCUAUAGCUGAUAAUAGCAUUCAAAAUCCGGAACGCCCUUCUGUAACCAAGUAGUGUUGUCAAAACAGCUAGCCUAUGAUUACUUCCUUGGUGAUCUUUACUGAAGUUAGGGGACGUCAUACAGAAAGUUAAAUCCUUUUCGUGUACAUAUGCUAUUAUAUUUAUAUCUGGUACUCUUCUUUUUGGAGUUACUAUUGUACUAGUUCCUUUAGAGCUGAACAGUUCAUAAAAUAGUUUAACCCUGUGGAAAGUUUGCCUGGCUUCUUUUACAUAGAUCCCUUAUGUGAAGUAGAAUUUAGUUACGAAACAACAUGCAACUUCAACCCCCCUCCACCAUGCAUGAUGCAUAGGUAACAACAUGGUUCGCCAUCGCAGGUCGCGGUCGCAUCGUGGUCUUGGUUGUUCCAUAUCCGUCGCGACAUAUCGGUUGAAUAUCGGGUGAUACGCACGUUAUGACACAUGAAAGUUUCCAAAAAUUUUGAAAAUUUAUUAAAAUUAGAAAAUACCAAAAAAUGCACAAUUUAAAAAUAUAUCCGAGUCGACUCCUAGUUGAUUCGGAUAUAUCGGCUGAUAUCAUGCAUCACAGAUUCGAAUCGACCAAUAUCGGUCGAGUUAGAGCGAGUCGUCGUGGAUAUGGUAAUAUCCGCGAUUCGAGGAUUGGUGUCGUACUGGUCCCUCCGUUUCAGUUACGACUUGCCCGAUAUUGCGAACCUCGUAACAGGGUGAGGAUACAAGGGGCCAGAAAUUGGGGCCGUUGGUUUGAAUUCAACAGCUAUCAUAUACAAGUUACUAGGUUUUGAAUGCAUUUGUUAUUUGGCAUCCCCUGAAGACGAUAGCAUACAUUAUUGUUGUUGCAACAAUUUUCUUCAAUCUUCUGAUUGGAGCAGCGUAGUAUUAUUCAUGUUCGUUGCUCUGCAUGCCGUAUCAUCACAGCGAAACUGCACAUUUAGCUGACUUGGUAAGUUAAAAUCCGAAGCAAAAGCUUCCAUCUUGAAUAGCAACCUACAGCACAGCACUCAACCCAGCAAUUUUCGACUCAAACAUUACUGGUUCUUGGGGGAGGAUGUCCACUUAGAAAUGCUUUGAAGAGUGUGAGAGCUUGGGAGGGAGAAGUGAAGGGGACUUCAUGAGCUGCUCCCUUAACGGUAGCAUAUGUCAAGUGUGUAUUGUUUUUACUCUUCUCUAAUCCACCAAAUGAUUGACUCCAGCCCCCAACCUGCAGAAGAACUUGAAUUACGAAAUUCAGUUGUAAAAUGGGCAGGUUUGCCAUAAUUAUUUCACUUGUACCUGCAAGCCAUCAUACCAAGGACCAUAUCUCCCAAAAGCUGUCAGCUCUAGAUCUUUGGCCAACCAAUUUGCAAUUUUCCUUGUCUGUGUUAGUGGGAUUUUUGAGUCUUGAUCUCCACUGGUCACAAGAAAUGUUAAUUGAAGCUUAGAUUAAAGUAGUAAUUAAUUAAGAAUAAAAUGUAAACUGCAAGCAUACUUGAAACGUUAAUUGGCAAAUGUGAUGUGUACGUAGUUUUGGUUAGAGGUAAUUUUGGUAGACGGCAUCUGAAGUCUAAAUGUUAGUAGUAUUAGAUACUACAUCAAAUCAUGAGAACUCAAGCUUGAAACUGGUAGCAAAAUGAGACAGGAUAAACCAACCUGAAAAGUAGAAUGCGGAUGUUCUCUCUAAGAAUCCCUGACAAGAGAGGUAUGAUGUUAGCAGCCAUAUUAUCAGCUUGGUAGUCCAGCGGCCUGCAAGAUCACAAUUUUAGCUCACAGGAUGACAAAACAUGCAGUCGACUUCUUGUGUUUGUCCAUAUCCUGGGAGUGUGUGUGUGUGGGUAUGUGUAUCUGUGUGUGUGUGUGUGUAAGAGAGAGAGAGAGAGAAGAGACUGGACCCUGAACAAAAGUCCCAGACAGCUGGAAAUCGAGUUGUUUUGAUAUGUAAAGCUUUCUGAACUCCAGGUUUGUUGAGGUAUGCAUAUAUCCUAUCACCUAGACAGGGAUCACCAACUGCAAUUUUCUUUGCAACCUAUCAAUAAACUCAAACUCUUAUUAGCAACCAUCAGCCUAUAGGUUCUGUUCUCCUUUGCUUCAACUUAGUGGAGUUAAUUUACAAACUAAUCAUGUUUCUGAAAAAACUGCUUGAAAUUCAGGUACUUUAGCCUAAAACUUUUCUAAAGCAAAAGUUGUUCAACCAACGAGAACAACUUGAUAGACUUCAUGUACCUUUGCAUCAGCAGGACCUCCCAGAAAAGUUGAUUGUGUAGUCGGGGAUAAACAUGGAGGCAUGAUAAGAUCGCCAGGAUCAGUAUCAUUUCCAACCUCCUCUCUCAUGGUUCCAUACAUAUCCAGGCAAUCCUUGGAUAGAUUUUUAUGGAUUCUCUCCACAAAGUACCUCGAGUCAUUACAGACUGUUUUCUUCAUUGCAAGCAUGUCAUCAGAAAUUACUCCAUGUGACCAAAGGAAUUCACUAGCAUCAAUGCUGAUCUCGCUGUCUAGCAGUGGAUUUCCCAGCUGCAAUACAUAGGAAGAGAGAAAUUUGUACAUUAAUUAAUUGGUUGCAACUUCUCAUGAAUCUGCAUUUGAUAAAGAUAGUGAAUUGAAAAAUUACUGCAAUUCCUUUGAGCUUGAUAGGUUUGUUAUUCAGUUGUCUGUUGUACUCUAGCAACAGCAUUGCAAGCUGUGGUAUAUAGUGACCUGAAACCAUUUUGAGCAGAUAUAUCAUCCUGCUAAUCAGAAUGUUAUGCAUUUCACACAUCGGCUAUUUCAAAUUUCACUAACACAAAAAUGCUCUAAAUUCUUGCAUAACCAUUAUUAUUAUUAUUAUUAUUGGUAGAAAUGACAAUUGAUCCAACCAAACCCGGAAUAAAGCCAAUUCAGUUAAAGAAGAAUAAUGAGUGAAAUUUUACCUGCAUAACUCUCCCCAGUUAAGUACAGAUCCGAAUCUCUGUGUUGAGGGAAUUCCUUGAACCAGUUCAAGGGAAAUUGCAGAUUAUCCCAAGCUGUAAAAAAGUUUGUUGAAACAUUCAAAAGCAACACUCUACUUACUGAGACAACUAAAAGAUGAACCAGCAUUGAUUACCAGUUGUUGUAUCAUUCCAAUUGAUGUAGUCUGAACUUGUGUUUGAGUAUGAAAACCCAACUCCAAUAGGUGAUUCCACAUACAACAUGUUUGAUGCUGUUCAGUUUUGAAGAUCAGGUCAAUUUCUGUAAUCCAGUUUCAGAAAUGGGCUUACAUGCAAUCAAUCAACCAUUACACCAGUACCUGAAUUCCAUGAAUACUUAUUUCUUAACAGGAGGCCUGCAUUUCCAGGCUGAAAAGGACCAUUUUCCAUGAAUGCACCAAAUCCAAGAGAAGAACAACCAGGGCCUAAACUGAAGCAAAGCACAUUAACAGGGAAAAAAAAGUAUAGAAAAUGAAAGAAAUGAUACAGUUGUUGGCAUUACCGCCAUUUAGCCAUACUGUCAGGGGAUGUGAGAGCGGAUUUCCUGAAUCAGCUUUGACGAAAUAAUAGAAAAGAGCUCGGCCAUGUUGAGCAUCUGUAACAAUGUAACCUGAAUAUUGCUUGAAGGUAACAUUAGAAGGCUGUCCAGGGAGAGAAGUUAUCAGCUCAGCAGUUGAUCUGCCAAUUGUCAAAAAUGCAGAGAAACUGCCCAAGACUAAGAACAAAAGAACCUUUUUCACGGUAUUCAUACUGGGACUAGGAGGGAGAGAGUGGAAGAAGUGGGAAAAUUCAGCUUCCUGUUUAGGCUUUACAAGUUCUUAUAGCGGUCAGGUUCUUUUAUUCAAUCAGAUCAAGCAUCUUACUUUAUUUCAAAAGAACGUCACGGUAAGUCUUCCAGUCAAACUCUUAGUCCCUAAUAACUUAUAAUAAUAGCGGCAUGCAAAAGCUCAUGUGUUGUUUCUUGAAACUGGUGAUCAUUAAAAUUCUUGCAUUCUACUUCAGAGUUCAGCCCAUCUAAAUUGUUGGACGUUCCCAAGAUUGAACGCCCGAAUCAAACAGUUCCAAAAAACAAAAAGUCCGGAAGUUUCAACAUUGAGGAGACUGUCAACAAGUGAAUGUUUGUGUGCAUCCUAGUGCAAAUGGGAAUUAGCUAACCGCUACAAAAUCUUAUUUUCAAGAAUUUCCGUGGCUUGGAUCUUAGCGUCCAAAACCUAUAUCUUUUACAGGACUUGCAAAAUUUUCAAGCACAAUGUAUCUGCAAUGGUUGGCUUGUAUUCAUCAAUCUUAAGACGUAUUUUUCAAGAUUUAUAACAAAAAUGUGAAGGCAGGUUGAGGACAUGCCAAAUUUUGAAAGAACCAAAUUAGAUGCAAAACAGUUUAGCGGGUGUACCAAUAACAGUUUAAAAAAGUACAUCCGAAAGUUGCUUAAAAGACAAAAUUUGGAGCAGGAGGGGAGGGAGGGGAGGGGAGAACAAGAACAUCGGAAAGCCAUGUGAAAUUCAUAAAUUAUUCUGGUGAAGCCAGAAGGGCAAGCAUUCAACUACAUUGCAUUAGCAGGGCGUUGUAUGCUACCAAUCUAAUGGUGAACCCAUCCUAUCUGCUCCAAUUCUUAUCAGGAGCUCUUCAAUUCCUGGCUGGAAUUGACCAUGUCAAUCAAUGCACCAAUCCAAGAGAAGAAUGACGAAGGCCCAAAAAGGUUGAAGUAGAUCAGAUAACAGAAAGAAACACAGAUUUAGAAAAGGUAAUCAUACUGGUUGAGAUUGCCACUAUCGAGCCAUACACGAAUAGUACAAUACAAGAAGGAACAAAAAAUCAUGAACCAGAUUUAUAUAUUUCCUGCUCACAGCAUAUGAAGAGUAAGACAUUUCAAGGGGAAAGUUGAAACUUGGAACCUCAACUAAACAGUCAAAAAGUUCCAAACUUGGAACAGAUGCGAGGGAGUCAGUUUUUGUGUGUGGACGUCCUGACAGAAAUGGAAAUUAGGAACGGAAAGAGGAAUUUAGGAGGAGUUCUACCAUCCCUUUGGAAUAUUAUAUUUCGAUGUAUAAAAAGAGAUAUCAACCCUUAAAUAAUUUUAUGAAUUUAAAUUAUUAAACGAGGUGAUUUUAUGAAUUUAAAUUAUUAAACGAGGUGACGAGUUUGGUAGAAUUUUCAAGAUGGAUUGUAGAAUUUUCCAAAUUUUAAAUUUAUAAUUUGAGAAUUUCGUUGGCUUCGAUCAUAGCAUUCAAAUGUCAUUUCCAACAUUUGGUAGAUGUCAUAUGCAAAUGGCAAAUUAAGUGCAUAUGGUUCUUCAGUGAAAUUUUGUCAUGGUCGUCUCAACUAAUCCUCAAGCUUUAGGAUGAAAAUAUGGCGUCAGGUUGAUGACAAGCCAGGUUACGAGAUAGCUGAUUACUGUCAAAAAUAGGCAGCUAGGGAACAAAUUCGGCUCAUACAUGCCAAACAGGAGAACAGCUGCAAUGAAAUUUGAUCACUAUUCUUCAAACCCAUAUCGAUAACACUAACAAAAACUCCUAGGAAUUCACUUCAUCAAAAUACAAUACUGCACAAGGCAUAGGGAAUGAAGAGUCGCAUGAAUAUCAAAAUCAAUUUAGUUGAUGCAAACAGCGAUCCCUAUCUGCUCCAUUCAUACUCGGCACCAGAUCUGGCAUUAGUGUAGUUCACCCGACUAGCAUCUUCUGGCUUCACGG